rnacentral:lncRNA from 1 species
CCUUUUGAGAAUGUACAUACCAACAAUGGUUGCUGCUGUUGUAUCAUCAAUAAAAAUUGAGCGCAGCGACGGUGAGCUCUUUAGAGAACUAAUUGUAAGCCAUCACUGAAUUCUCGUAUGGCAUUCAGUAUGAAAUUUUGUUGUUUUCGUUUGAUUAUUCCAUGAGCCGUAGCAGCCGUGCUCUUGCACUAUUGGUCCAUUCAGUGACAUCUUCAUUCAUGUGAAAAUGGAACCAUUUCUUCUCAUCGUUGGGAUAUUUUUCCGUCAGGGGCCUGGAAUGCAAAUUCGUUUUGAAAACUGCAAUAUGUGUUGUCUGUUGUGCCGAUGGUCUGGUGUUCGGCCUUCGGUUAGGCUGCCGAACAAAGCAUAUUGUACACAUAUUUUGGCCAAUCAGCUUCAGAAUUCUGCACAACAGCAAACCAGUCAGCAGGCACUGUCUCUCGCUGAUCCAAAAUUUUGACGUGCCAAUGGCCUGGAUUUUUAAACGUGUUGAGCAGCUUGAGCUCGUGUAGAUCUGUACUAAUAAGAGUUGAGGUGAGCAAUCCUAGCGAUGAGCAAAUGGACGGUGGAUGCUUUGAAUGGGCAUGACAUAUUUUCUAGGGAUUUUUACAUCGGUGCCCCUGGUUUCUUAGCUCCACUCAUCCAUCCCUACGCUCUUAACUUUUGCUUAGUUUUCCCCACUCCUUUGCCCGAAACCCUCAGAAGAGGUCACAACGGACGUCGCUGUCGGGUUAGUGCUUUGACCGUUAACUCUGACGAGUGGGGCCGCGUUGGGGGUGUAGUUGUUCAACCGUUGGGCUGUCCCUUGCAUUAAACGCCUGCGCGCGCCGCCACGACAGAAGCCUGCUAUGCAUGCACCCAACAAACAUGCCUGCAUGCGAUGAUGCGCCGACCGAGCCUGCAUCCGUUGAUGCGUGCCGCCAUGAUGCACUGACCGAACCGCUUUCGUGCACGCCAGCUGUCACGCCCAAUAUGCGAUACUAUCCUAAAGAGACUCGAAGGCCCCACCAAGGAUAGAACCGCAUAUUGAAACGCUUUUGCAAGGUGGAUAUCAUUACAUCAACAUUACAUAAUAUUUGGGGAUACAUACAAGGCAUACCAAUGCCGCAAGAAUACAUCAAUACAUCAAUACAUAAGAACAACAUCCGACUACGGAUGAAACAUAAACAGAAACUCAAACGACAUCCACCCUGCUAGCCCAGGCUGCCGACCUGGAACCUAUCCCCUGAUCGAAGAAGAAGCAGAAAAGGAACUCCAAACAAGUAAACAUCGCUCUCGCGUCAUGAACAUCGCAAAACCUGUACCUGCAACUGGUGGUGUAGUAAUCUGUGAGCCACGAGGACUCAGCAAUCCCAUUACCAUGGGUAUCAAGACUAGCAAAGCUUAAUGGGAAAGGAAGGGGUAAAGUGGUGAGGUUGCAGCAGCGACUAAGCAAGUAUGGUGGCUAACUUACGCAAAUGAGAGCGAGAAGAGAAGUAAAGGAACGGUCGUCAACUAGCAAUGAUCAAGAAGUGAUCCUGAACUCCUACUUAUGUCAAACAUAAUCCAUAAACCGUGUUCACUUCCCGGACUCCGCCGAGAAGAGACCCUCACGGCUACACACGCGGUUGAUGUAUUUUAAUUAAGGUCAAGUGUCAAGUUCUCUACAACCGGAUAUUAACAAAUUCCCAUCUGCCACAUAACCGCGGGCACGGCUCUCGAAAGUUUAUACCCUGCAGGGGUGUCCCAACUUAGCCCAUGAUAAGCUCUCACGGUCAACGAAGGAUAUUCCUUCUCCCGGAAAGACCCGAUCAGUCUCGGAAUCCCGGUUACAAGACAUUUCGACAAUGGUAAAACAAAACCAGCAAAGCCGCCCGAUGCGCCGACAUCCCGAUAGGAGCUGCACAUAUCUCGUUCUCAGGGCAACACCGGAUAAGUCAAGCUACGAGUAAAACCAAACCUCGAGUUUCCCCGAGGUGGCCCCGCAGGCUGCUCGGUUCGGACCAACACUUAGAGAAGCACUGGCCCCGGGGGGGGGGUUAGAAUAAGAUGACCCUCGAGAGAGCGACUCCCUAGGGAAAAUAAAUAGGCUGGACAAAUGGUAAAACCAAGGUUGGGCCUUGCUGGAAGAGUUUUAUUCAAGGCGAACUGUCAAGGGGGUCCCAUAAAUCACCCAACCGUGUAAGGAACGCAAAAUCCGGGAACAUAACACCGGUAUAUCAGUAACUAGGGCGGCAAGAGUGGAACAAAACACCAGGCAUAAGGCCGAGCCUUCCACCCUUUACCAAAAUAUAUAGAUGCAUUAAUAAUAUAAGAGAUAUUGUGAUAUCCCAACAUAAACAUAAUCCAACAUGGAGCAAUCUUCAUCUUCACCUGCAACUAGCAACGCUAUAAGAGGGGCUGAGCAAAGCGGUAACAUAGCCAAACAACGGUUUGCUAGGAAUGGUGACAAAGGUUAGAGGUUCAUGGCAAUUUGGGAGGCUUGAAGAGCAAGAGAAUAGGUAGCGCAGCAAAGUGAUAGAACGAAGCAACUAGCAUAGCAAUGGUAGUAAUGAGAUCCAAGGUGAGGGUCAUCUUGCCUGAAAUCCCGCUAGGAAGAAGAACGAAUCCAUGAAGAAGAUGAAGCCACGAAGACGAACGAAUCCUCACGAUCGCAACGACACGGGAACUAUCGAGAAGAAGCACACAACAAGGUAAACACACCACGCAUGAACAAGGCAAGACGCUCAACCAAGAAUGAUGCAUGACGAGUCUAUAUGAAGCUACUCGUGGCAAGAGAUGAUGCAUACAAGAACAACACAUCAAGGCAAGUUUAAAUGAGGCCGGAAUCAACCUAUAACAAAUCCGGUAAAUCCUCAUAUGCAAAUUUCGAAAUUAGUCCAGAACUGAGCAAGCAUUAAGUUGAAGUUUUUAAACAGCAAGUUAAAAAGCACCAUGAAGAUCUACACGAAAUUCUAGUCAAGUUACAUAUAAAGUUCAUUAGAUUCGGAGCUACGGCCUAGAAGAUAUGAGCAAAACAAGUUAAACAUGGCAUUGAUGCAAAAUGCAUACAAACAUCAAGCAAACACCUCAAAACAAGGAUGCAAUAUGAUAAUAUGAGGCUACAUGAAAAACUAAGCAAGUUUCAUAUAGAGCACGCUCAAAACGGAGCAACGGUGCAACACAUACACUCCAAACAAUACAUAGCAACAAUCUGACGAAAACAGCAACUAGGCAUAUGGCAACCAUCAAAACAAUAUGCUACAGCAACUCAACAUGAAAACAAAAGGCAUGGGCAUGAAUCUACUCAAAGCAUAUAACAAAAGUCCCUUACUGACCAUAAGUCAAAAAUGAUCAGAAGAUAUGAUGGCAAGCAUGUAAACAUAGCAAGUUUCGUUAUCAGGUUUCAGACUUAGCAGAAAACAGAGCAUGGCAGGAAUAAUAAUAUGAAGGCCUCUUUGUGAGCUUGAUGCACUCACUACAGAGCAAUUCAUGACAAAACAAGAAUAACUACAGCAAGAUGGCAUGAUUAUGAAGCUAUCCAUGGAAAGAACAAAAGCAUAGCAUGUAUGGAUCAACUACAACAAGCUUGGCAAAAAUGAAUAUCAUGUUAAGAAUCUGCCAGAAAUAAUUUAUAGCAAAAGUAGAGCGAGAUUGAGUCAUGCUAUGGCACUCCAUAAUUGCAAACAAGGGCAGGAAUGGAUCAACUACAACAAUAGCUACAAAACAUCCUUACUGAACAUCUCCAAAAUAUGCAUGUAUCUCAAUGUAGCAUCAAGUUUACAUGGCAACAAAAUUACAGCAGACAAGGACUUAAGGAAAUCACCGUCCCUGAAAUCAGAAACAUUACGGAGCCUACUUUGCAUGCUUGUGCUAGUCACCACAGGGAUCACAAAAACACAUGGACUAUACCAGUGGAAAGAUGGCAUGGCAUACUUCAAAACACAUGUAGAGUUCAUGCUCAAAAGAUGCACAGAUUAAAUGAUACAAAAAUGACAAAUCUCCAAGUUCUGAUAAGAACCAGAGAAUAACAGCAACUAGCCCUCUUCCAACAGAGAUUUGGGCAUCAAGAUGACCUCUAAUGAACAUGGUGCAAUUGAACAAAAUGAAGAGCAUCACGAGGCGAACAAUUUGACAUAUUACACGCGCGAAUCGGAGCUACAUGCACAAAGUUACGAUGCAGAGAACAUGACAUGAUAAUGCAAACUUCCAGGACUUGGGCAAAAAAAACAACCUCGAGGGGGGCGAAGUCAACGCGGGCUCGGGGGAAGAAGGGAAGGACGCCGGCGGGGGAGGGGGCGCCGGAUCUGGCCGGCNNNNNNNNNNNNNNNNNNNNNNNNNNNNNNNNNNNNNNNNNNNNNNNNNNNNNNNNNNNNNNNNNNNNNNNNNNNNNNNNNNNNNNNNNNNNNNNNNNNNNNNNNNNNNNNNNNNNNNNNNNNNNNNNNNNNNNNNNNNNNNNNNNNNNNNNNNNNNNNNNNNNNNNNNNNNNNNNNNNNNNNNNNNNNNNNNNNNNNNNNNNNNNNNNNNNNNNNNNNNNNNNNNNNNNNNNNNNNNNNNNNNNNNNNNNNNNNNNNNNNNNNNNNNNNNNNNNNNNNNNNNNNNNNNNNNNNNNNNNNNNNNNNNNNNNNNNNNNNNNNNNNNNNNNNNNNNNNNNNNNNNNNNNNNNNNNNNNNNNNNNNNNNNNNNNNNNNNNNNNNNNNNNNNNNNNNNNNNNNNNNNNNNNNNNNNNNNNNNNNNNNNNNNNNNNNNNNNNNNNNNNNNNNNNNNNNNNNNNNNNNNNNNNNNNNNNNNNNNNNNNNNNNNNNNNNNNNNNNNNNNNNNNNNNNNNNNNNNNNNNNNNNNNNNNNNNNNNNNNNNNNNNNNNNNNNNNNNNNNNNNNNNNNNNNNNNNNCCUGGGCCCAGCGGGCCGCGGCGGCGGGGACGGCGGCCAGGACAGGUGGCGGCGUGAGGUUCGCGGAGGCGGCGGUUGGACAUGUCCGACGGCGGCGCAGACAUGUCCGGCGGCGCGAGGGGAGCGGAGCUAGGGUUAGGGUGGAUUUCAUCCGCGAAUUUCGGGGGAGGGGGUGUUUAUAUAGGUAGAGGGAGCUAGGAGAGUCCAAACGAGGUGCGGUUUUCGCCCACCACGCGAUCGUGAUCGAACGACCGAGAGCAUGGCAGGGACUUAGAGGGGUUUUGGGACUGUUUGAAGGGGGGUUUUGCUGCAACACGCAAAAGGACUUAGCGGAUGCCCGGUUAACCGUUGGAGUACCAAACGACCUCCAAAUGGAACGAAACUUGACCGGUGGUCUCCGGGUGGUAUACUAGGGCCACUUGACAAGCCUCGGUCCAUUCCGAGAAAGUUUGACACCCGCACACGAAAGAAAACAAGAGGGGUGCACCGGAGGAGAUAGGAGCGCCGGAUUGCAAAACGGACAACGGGGGAAAUACUCGGAUGCAAGAGACGAACACGUAUGCAAAUGCAAUGCACAAGAUGGCAUGAUAUAAAAUGCAGAUGAUGACAUGGCAAAAUGCAACACGCAAGCAAAUGACGUGGCAACGACAGCGAAUAACUGGCAGACACCUGGCGCAUCGGAUCCGGGGCGUUACAACAGCCGCCACGGAUGCAACGACAGUCGCUGCCGCUGGUUCCUCUCUUCUCGCACACUUGUCUCCUCGAUUUAGAACCCGUUUUGCUACGACAAAUAAAUUGAACAAAUAUGUUGUGGCUACAUGCACUAGCUAGGUGGCUACAUAUUUGUGGCUUGUGUAAGAAAAGAAGGGUUCGUUGUGGCUGCAUGCACUAGGUGGUUAGCGAGCUCUCUAAGAAAACAAUCAACAUACAUUUAGAUAGGGCCAUCAAGCCCAUAGCACGAUCACAUAGUUGAAACUAGGAGUAACAUCAUGAUAGAAUAGAUAGAAAACUUAAUAAAAGAACUUGAUAAGGGGUGGGAACCGGUAGGUUGGUCCGGUGUACUGCAUAGCUGAGGGAUGUGCAGAAGACGGAGAAGGGGUCGAAGAGCAAGGCAGAGGCAGAGGGUGGCUUAAAUAGCCGUAGUGCUACGUGUUAUUUGGCCGUGGCAAUAAUGGCGUCAAAUAUGAAGUUAGUAGCCCAUUUUCAAACCCACUACAGCAUUGGGAGUGUACACGCGUGGGAAACGGUGGUUUGAAAAGAAGAAGAAAAAGAAGCUAAUUGCAUGCAUGGGAAUCCGUGGUCAAACCCUAUAUUAUAUGAACAAAAAGAGACAAUUUUUGAAGAGCUUGUGGCCAUUUUGAAUGAUAAAAAUAAAUUUGGUCAUUUUGCAUGAUAAAAAGAGAUAGAGGGCUUGAAUGAUAAAAAUAUUUAGCCCUUAUAAAUUUGGUCAUUUUACAUUUGUAUAGAACAAAAAGAACGAUGCAAAAAACAGAGCAAACGAUGCAAAAAUACAGAGCCAGCACGUUCACAAAAAACAAAGCAAACGAUGCAAAAAAAAGACGCAAUUCGACGGCCCAACCAGAGCUUGGUUUCCUUUUGGGCCCAAUAACAACGUUUUUUUUCACGGAGUCAGUGGUGGGCGAGCAGCCGAGCACAACCAAUAGGAUCGCCUCUCGCGGAUCGCCCCAUGAUCCAACUAUGCGGAGCCGUCCUUGUGAUCCAACGGCGCGGAGCCUGCACACAGCCAGCCCACCUAGUUCCUUCUAGAAGGCCAGAUCUGAGGGCUGUCGCUUGGCGCGAGGGUGUGAUCGGACGGCUGAUGUUGGGAGCUAGGGUUAGGCGAAACCCCGCGGGGUUUAGAGGGGUUUUGAGCUGGUCAACGGGGUUUCGAAGGCUUUGACUGAACAUACCUAAUUUAAAAAAAUCGAAAAAAAUGAAACCUUCGCCAUUCGUCGUUUUAUAAGACAAACUAACAAGGAAAAAUACUAAACUUGGUCUAUGGUCAUUUUCAUGAAAAAAACCCUAGCUGGCAUGAUCGAGGUCAAAUGAGCACCAUUAUUUUAAAAAAAUACAAAACCUGCGCACAAUGUUGUCUUAUGUGACAUGUUACCAACCAAAAAUCAUAAACUUGCUCUAUGGUCAUUUUCAUGAGAAAACCUUCACACAUAUGAGCUAUCAUGUACAUGAUUUCAUAGAGUUCAAGGAGAGAAGGUGGUGUUACCUUCUUUUUUUGAAAAAUUUAAGAAAAAUAAAAAAAAUCACUAAAUCUUUAUUUUAAAGUGAAUAAGAAGGAUAUGAAGUUAGUUUUCCUUUUUCAUAUUUCAAAACGUGUUUUAAUAGUUUUUAUAUUAAAGCAUAUGUUUUCAAAAGAAAACGUAAAAAUAUGAAGAUUAAUUUAAAAAAUAGUGAGACUUCGAAUCUACACUAUGAAAAGUGAAUAUGUGUUAAUAAAAAAACAUUUGGUUCAUUUAGAGUAGGUUCAAAAAAACUUGAUUACAAAAGGGUUGUUUACCCUUGCCUGGGAGCUCAUUUGGAGCACAUUUUCUCAAAUUCAAAUUUAUUUGACCCAAAUGUGUUGGCGCGGACGUCGAACGGACGCCACGCGCGCCUUCUCGCUGUCCACCGCGUCCCCACUCGCGGCCGCCCACUCGCGGUCAGCUUAAUUUAUGACCACGGGCCCACGCGUCAGCGACGGCGGUCGCCCUUUUUUAAGCCGACCAUGCGGCGGGGCCGUCCUCAUCCAAACUCGCCGUCCCCAUCUGGGCAAGCUCGCUCCCCCGUCGCCGGCAAACCCUAGCAAAAACCCUAGCCAACCCUAGCCAAAUGGGGCUCUUCUCCAGCGCCGGCAGCAGCAAGUCCAAGGGCAAGGCCCCCGCCAUCCCUUUCCCCUCCGAGUUCGUACCGCCUCCGCCGGCGCCGGCUCGCCAGCAGAGGGUGCGAGUGAGCGUGCCAGUGCACCAGGCGGAGUGGCACUAGCAGCACCGCGUCCCUCUGCCGUACCCCGACGUCACCCUGCCAUACGACUGGCAUCUGGAUCCAGAGAGGAUCCCAGUGCCGGCGGCGCCGCGGACGACUAGGGCGCACGCGGAGGAGGUGCGGCACCGGCGGGCAAUGCUGACGCCGAAGCAGCCGCGACGCCACCUACGCCACCGACUCGCCUAACUGGGCGAGGUGGUUCGCCUUCGAGCACGAGGAGGCGAGGCGACGCGGCAUGCGGGAGGUCGACCGCAGCGUGCCACCGCCCCCGCUCAUCGUCCGGGAGGAAGACCAUGCGGCCCUUGCGGCGGUCUACCGCGAGAGCGAGGAGGACGAGCGGCACAGGGUGGAGGCGGUGGAGGAAGAGGAGACUCGCUACGAGGCGGCCAUGGCGCAGGCCCUCGCCCUCUCCGCGGCCGGCGAUUGCGUCGUGCCGCCGCUGGCCCCGCCGUCCCCUCCCUGACGGCUCGUCAAGGCCGACCCGGAGCCGCAGCCGGAGCCCGAGCCGGAGCCCAUCGCGCGCUUCUCCUGGACGAGAGUGGUGCGCGAGUGGGUGUCCGCGCCACCGGUUUGGAUGGGGGCGACCCCGGAGCAGGAGGCGGCGUACCUCGAGAUGUUUUGACGCCCCGAUUUGACCAUACACUAAUCAUGCACGCAAAUGUGUACGAUCAAGAUCAGGGACUCACGGGAAGAUAUCACAACACAACUCUACAACAUAAAUAAGUCAUACAAGCAUCAUAAUACAAGCCAGGGGCCUCGAGGGCUCGAAUACAAGUGCUCGAUCAUAGACGAGUCAGCGGAAGCAACAAUAUCUGAGUACAGACAUAAGUUAAACAAGUUUGCCUUAAGAAGGCAAGCACAAAAGUAGCAACGAUCGAAAAGGCAAGGCCUCCUGCCUGGGACCUCCAAACUACUCCUCGAAGCCGAACUCCAUGUAGAAUCAUCCUCGGGAUCUCUAGCUCCUAGACUCCAUCAUCUGGUUGCGACAACCAGAUAUAGAAAGGGAAAAAGAGGGAGAAAAGCAACCGUGAGUACUCAUCUAAAGUACUCGCAAGCAAGGAGCUACACUACAUAUGCAUGGGUAUAUGUGUAAAGAGCCAUAUCGGUGGACUGAGCUGCAGAAUGCCAGAAUAAGAGGGGGAUAGCUAAUCCUGUCGAAGACUACGCUUCUGGACACCUCCAUCUUGCAGCAUGUAGAAGAGAGUAGAUGGUAAGUUCACCAAGUAGCAUCGCAUAGCAUAAUCCUACCCGGUGAUCCCCUCCUCGUCGCCCUGUUAGAGAGCGAUCACCGGGUUGUAUCUGGCACUUGGAAGGGUGUGUUUUAUUAAGUAUCCGGUUCUAGUUGUCAUAAGGUCAAGGUACAACUCCGGGUCGUCCUUUUACCGAGGGACACGGCUAUUCGAAUAGAUAAACUUCCCUGCAGGGGUGCACCACAUAACCCAACACGCUCGAUCCCAUUUGGCCGGACACACUUUUCUGGGUCAUGCCUGGCCGCGGAAGAUCAACACGUCGCAGCCCCACCUAGGCACAACAGAGAGGUCAGCACGCCGGUCUAAAUCCUAUGGCGCAGGGGUCUGGGCCCAUCGCCCAUUGCACACCUGCACGUUGCGAACGCGGCUGGAAGCAGACCUAGCCUAGCAGGCGUUCCAGUCCAAUCCGGCGCGCGCCACUCAGUCGCUGACGUCACGAAGGCUUCGGCUGAUACCACGACGUCGAGUGCCCAUAACUGUUCCCGCAUAGUUGGUUAGUGCGUAUAGGCCAGUGGCCAGACUCGGAUCAAAUACCAAGAUCUCGUUAAGCGUGUUAAGUAUCCGGGGAAGCCGACCAGGGCCUGGCCCACCUCUCUCCUAGGUGGUCUCAACCUGUCCUAUCGCUCCACCACAAAGUAACAGUCGGGGGCCGUCGGAACCCAGGCCCACCUCUACCGGGAUGGAGCCACCUGCCCCUUUAGCCCCCAUCUCCGAACAGUAUCAUAAGUAAUGAAACAGUAUCAAGUAUAUAGCAUAUGCCCGUGAUCACCUCCCGAAGUGAUCACGGCCCAGUAGUAUAGCAAGGCAGGCAGACAAGAGUGUAGGGCCACUGAUGGAAUACUAGCAUCCUGUACUAAGCAUUUAGGAUUGCAGGUAAGGGUAACAAGUGUAGCAACAAUGACAGGCUAUGCAGCAGAAUAGGAUUAACGGAAAGCAGUAACAUGCUCACUACUCUAAUGCAAGCAGCAUAGGAAAGAAUAGGCGAUAUCUGGUGAUCAAGGGGGGGCUUGCCUGGAAGCUCAGCCGAGAAGGAGGGGUCGUCAACACCGUAGUCGAACUGGGAUCGCCGACAGUGUCGGGGUCUUCCGGAAAGAAGUAACGGAGGGGGAACACAAUAAAUAACAGAGCAAUCAAAGCAUCACAAAGCAUAACAUGGCAAUGCGCGGUGCUAGGGGUGACCUAACGCAGUAGUAGGUGGUACCGGCGAAGGAGGCAAACAUCCGGGAAAGUAUUCCCGGUGUUUCGUGUUUUCGGACAGAUGAACCAGAGUGGGAAAGUUGCGUGUUCGCUAUGCUAGGGACGCGUGGCUCACAAACGGACUACGCAUUUAGAUUCAUCUCGUCGUUCUGAGCAACUUUCAUGUAGAAAGUAUUUUCAUCUGAGCUACGGUUAAUUUUAUAUUAAUUUUAAAAGAUUUAAAUCAUUUUUAGGAUUAAUUUAAAUAUUUUAAUUCAACAUUAUCCGGAACAGUGUCUGCCGACGUCAUCAUGACGUUAGCAGUCAACAGAGGUGUUGACUGGUCAAACUGACGUGUGGGCCCAGUGGGACCCACCUGUCAUACACUGUUAGGUUAAUUAGGGUUUAGGUUAAACUAAUUACUGUUUAUUUAAACUAACAGGUUAAUUAGAUUAAUUAAAUAGGAUAAUUAACUUAAUUAAUUAAUUAAUUAAAUUUAUUAUUAUUAUUAUUAUUUUCUAAAAACGUUCUGGAGCGGGCCCCUUGUCAUAGGCCCUAGGGGGGCUAGCGGGAAAAAGGGCAGCGGGCGGAGCCCCGUUAGCGCGGGGGCGCUGGCGGGCACCACGCCCAAACGGGCAAAAUCGGGGCACCGACGAGUGGCCCGCCGGAGCGCGGCCAUGAUGAGCCGGCCGCGGACGGCGCCGGCGAAGGGCGGCGGGUCGGCGAUGCUGGGCANNNNNNNNNNNNNNNNNNNNNNNNNNNNNNNNNNNNNNNNNNNNNNNNNNNNNNNNNNNNNNNNNNNNNNNNNNNNNNNNNNNNNNNNNNNNNNNNNNNNNNNNNNNNNNNNNNNNNNNNNNNNNNNNNNNNNNNNNNNNNNNNNNNNNNNNNNNNNNNNNNNNNNNNNNNNNNNNNNNNNNNNNNNNNNNNNNNNNNNNNNNNNNNNNNNNNNNNNNNNNNNNNNNNNNNNNNNNNNNNNNNNNNNNNNNNNNNNNNNNNNNNNNNNNNNNNNNNNNNNNNNNNNNNNNNNNNNNNNNNNNNNNNNNNNNNNNNNNNNNNNNNNNNNNNNNNNNNNNNNNNNNNNNNNNNNNNNNNNNNNNNNNNNNNNNNNNNNNNNNNNNNNNNNNNNNNNNNNNNNNNNNNNNNNNNNNNNNNNNNNNNNNNNNNNNNNNNNNNNNNNNNNNNNNNNNNNNNNNNNNNNNNNNNNNNNNNNNNNNNNNNNNNNNNNNNNNNNNNNNNNNNNNNNNNNNNNNNNNNNNNNNNNNNNNNNNNNNNNNNNNNNNNNNNNNNNNNNNNNNNNNNNNNNNNNNNNNNNNNNNNNNNNNNNNNNNNNNNNNNNNNNNNNNNNNNNNNNNNNNNNNNNNNNNNNNNNNNNNNNGAGGUAUGCCGGCGGGGUGGAAGACGAGGUGGAGGCGGCUGCGUCGCGGCGAGGCGGCACCGGGCGGCGUCGGCGGCCUCCUCCUCUCGAUCCCGAUCCAAUCGGGAGAGAGAGGGGGGAAGAUAUUUCGGGGGGUGUCGGUGGGUGAGUGGGGGAGUGGGGGGAGGUUAUGGGGUGCGGGGUGGGCCGGCCAGGUGGGUUGGCCCAAUGGCCUGCUGGGCCGGAGCCCCGGGGGUGUUCUUUUCCUUCUUCUUUUUUUGUUAGUUUUCUUUUCUGUUUUUGUGUUUUCUUUUCUUUUUAUUUAUUUUCUUUUUUGUUUUAAAACAUUUUAAAAUAUUUAGGCAUUUUCUAAAAAGGAGUUCUCUUCACUAUAAUUACCUAUGUAAUAUUAGGCACUACCCGAACAUUUUUGUUUUAACUUUUGAAAAGUUUGAUGAUUGACAUUAUUUAAAUUUUUGAAUUUGAAAAGUUUUGAUCCAACACGAGAUUAGCAACAGUAACCGCGGUGACGUGGCAUCAUUAACAUGGAAUUACUGUAGCUUAAAUAUCCGGGCGUCACAAUUCUCCUCCACUACAAGAAAUCUCAUCCCGAGAUUUAAGAGGGGAAGUGCCGAGGAAGGGAUUUGGUUAUGAAAUUCUAACGAGCGUUCUCGAUCUUGGUUGCUCUUCUCGAAGAGGUCGAUCCAUUACGUUGAGGUCUUCAUUUCUCUGCUUCAGGUCAUCAUGAUGAAGUCGGCAUCCUUUCUUUGGGAACGCCAUCGUACUUACAAAAGGAUAAAGAGGGAAAACUACAAGGACAGAUGUGUGCCAAGACUGAUAUUCGACAAUUAGCUCGAGGAUUUUGGCCCAAGGUAUCUCUCGAGUUGAAACUCAGGAAAAUAUUGAGAGCAAAGUAAGAAGGUACAAUAAGGAGUUUCAAGCGGCCAGACAAUCGUUCAAUGCCUAAUCAGAAGGUGAAAGGGUUUCAGGGAAACGGGAAUAAGUAUUGCGUCUGAUACCAAAAUAUAGCACUAGGAAGGUGGCUCGCGAAUUACAUAUGAAACCAAGCGCGAGGAAUGACUUUGGUAACAGGGGUGUUCAUGAGAGUCAGGUUUCGAUCCUGUGGAACUUGUGGGUUAUGGGCCCACCAUGUGGGUUGAAGGUAGAAAGGGCGUUGACAUCUUGCACGAUCAUGUAAGCAAGGCCAGUCAGAGGAUAGCCUGUCAGUUAUGUCGGCAACAACAUCGGUACCAAGGGCGAGGGACGAAGAGAACCAUUUCCUACUCGUUGAACGAGGUGGACCAAUAGGCAAAGUUCUCAUCCAUCGGUGGCUACCGGAAUGUCAUCAACAAUAGUAACAGGGUUACACCAGACAGGAUGGUACACCGAGGUGUUUACAUAAGUAGAGAAAUAUUACUGCUUAUAUCAUAUAGGUCACAAGAAAGGUUAACCAAAACAAUGGAAAGAAAAAUGUGAUUAUUACAUUAAUCAGACCAAUGGAAAGGAAAGGUGUUUAUACUAAAGUUUUAGAGUAUAUCUUUCCCAAGGAAAGGGCAAGAUAUUAAGGAUAGGGCUCCAAGUAUGUAACCAUUUAGGUAAGGGGGAGAGGAUUUUCAUGACAUUACCCAAACAACAGUGUUUGCAUAAUUGAUAAAGAGAAGUUAGCAUUGUGCUUCAAGUGUUCUUAUUGAAGAUAGGAGUACCAUACAUGCUUCAAGAUAGCAUUGACAUGCUCAUUGGGUAAAGAUCAGACUUUGGAUUCACAAAGGAUCCAUUAGGAGCAACUUAUAGAAUAAUUCUUACAAUUUCCUCAUGGAAGAAUGGCUAAACUUGCUAAAAAGGAUACUAUAACAAUAGGUCCUCCGCCCAGGUGUGCUAGGCAUGACAUCACCUUACCGGGUCUUAUAUAGACCAAUGCUAUAACUCUUGGAAAAAUGUUCCAACCAUCAUAUCUGACCGGGAUUCAGAUCUGAUUGGUGUUAGGAUACCUCAGACUCGGGAUGCCUGAGAAGAAAAGGUGCAACACAAUUGACGAGAUGCCAUUGUAAGAUUUUCAAGAAAUGAACUAUGGAAGCGAGUUCCGAAACAAGAGUUUAUCAUUAAUCCAAGGAGAGGAUGAGGAUGUGGCUGAUGGACUCAGCGAUAAUUCAACGAGAUAUCCAAAAAGAUGGAUUACCACAAUCAUGUGAACAAGGAGAUAACAUUUGUCAGAUCAAUUGAUAUAAUGAUGUAUGUUUGAGGAAACAUACACAAUUAAACAUUGGUUGAAAGGUGCACCCGAGAUAUGGGCUUAGGUAGGAACGAUGUUAGAAUGGUGUUUCAAUAACCGGUGGUCUAAUAAUGAACCGUCGACCAUUAACUUCAAGCAAUAGGGUUGCUAGAAGUUUGGAAUUACACCGCACAUUUCAUUUGUUGGUAUUCCGGUUAGCAACAAUACAGGGACCAAGAAUUGAACGGAGAUUGCGAGAAGUAUCACUUGAAUCAAGAAUUCUUAAGAGGUGGUGAAAUUCUCACGACAUUCUUGACAUAAAAGAUGGUAAUACUUCAAGGUAAAGAAGAACAAAUGAUGGGUAGCAAGGAACUCAAGGUAUAACACAAAAUACGAACAAGUUUGUGUUGAACGGAAGGCAUUAAAGUGGUUGAUGAUUAACACAAAACAUCAAGGGCAAGGAUGGUAUUUCUCAACAUGGAUUCAAUCGAUAUCCUUGAAGAGCUCGGAAUGUUGAUGAUGAUCAUGACACAUUUGUCGAGAGGUUUCAUGAAGAUAUAAUCGCUCAUCAACAACAUCAAGCAAAAGAAAGGAUGGAGCGAAAAGUUAUUGAAACCACGGAUACGACGCAAACUUGGAAUCAAGCUAGUUGUUCAAGGCGAAAUGAUAUGAUGAGGAAAAUCAACGUAAGAUUAGCUCAUCAUCGAAAAUUGUGCUCCGAGAAGAAGGACCAGGUAGCACAGUAAAAAGUUUGCACGAUAAUGAUAUAGCCGAUAAGGCUAGGAAUGACUUGAAGGAUUAUUAAACUCGUAAGCAACGUAAAUUACUUUGAGUUAUUGAAUCGGAGUGCGGAAUCGAUUCACUUAUCGGUGUUCUCGAGUGACUAAUAACUCAGAACCUGGGGGAAUCUGAAAUCGGUGAGAAGCAAUACUAGAUGAAGACUCGCAGGAAGAAACACAGUUCUCGAGACACUAGAAGGUAAUACUCGAGGAAGAUCAAAAUAAAGGUUGUGGAGAUGUAUCGAUCAACAAAAGACAAGUGCUUUAACUUGUCUGAGAAAUGGAAUCAAGGAGAAAAAUAUGGUCGGAACCACGAUUGCAAAGGAUCAAUACACAGAUACCAGACGAUAUCAUAUCAAGGAAAUAGUUAUUAUUACAAGAAGCUUCUAUGAUAGGAUCUACAUCGUGUCCAUGGGCAUGAACACAAAGUUCAAGGUCGACUCCCACUUCUCCAAUGCAUAACCUUUCAUUCACUUCUCAUUUUUCGAAGAAGUUGUAAUGUUUAAAUUUUAUCUAGCAAAACUCCAGAAGAGUAUGACUCGUGAUAGCUCUCGGGUUUACCCGGAUCUGGAAAGGCAUAGGUUCAACCCUUAGGGUCAUCUUGGGAACAUAUACCACAAGCUUCAAUAGUAAAUAACACAAGCUCGAUAGUAGAGCAUGGUUGACAAAAGGAGAGGAUACAAUUUACCGAAGGCAUUAUGUAUCAGGGAAAGAACUUCUCAAGGUUUUUGCAUAUGAAGGACACUGUCGGAUGAUAUUUCAACAAAGGAUCCGACGGUCCAUAGCGGAGCUGAUGUGAGUAUCGGCACACAACCAGAGGAAGAAAGAAUGCAAAGGCAUCAGAUUAUGGCAAUAUCUGGAUACUUCGAAGUUUUAAAAUCAAAGAACUUAUGAAUACCAGAUCGGUGUAUCAGAAUCAGAUGCCCUAAUCAAUUACGAGUAAGUUGAGUAGACUUAGAGGCACCAUCAGUCAAUGUUUGAAUGGCGGAAAACCAGCUCCUGUUCAAAAUGACAUCUGAGCCAGAAGGAUGAAUUUUAGGGUCCAAUUGAGGGUUGCGAGCAUUCGCAACAUAUUGAAUCAAGAGACUCGAAAUGAUAAUGACAAAGGAUACUAAAUGAAUGUUGCUCGUCUUAGGAACACAACCAAAAUGCAAGCACACAACUGCAGAGCAAUAGCGGGCAGAGGAUUACCAGAAGAUGAGAUAACAUCUUAAUGUAUCUUGUGCAUCAUAAGAACAACAGGGGAAGAACGGAUACUCGCAGGUGCGAGGAAUUAUCCGUAGGGGGUUUCAUGAGGCAAGAACUGCAGGGCAGUAAGCUCAAAAUAUUCUCGGAACAAUAGAGAGGAUUUCAAGUGAUCUUGUAAUAACAAGAUCAACUAGGAGUAAAAGUAAGGACGGCAGGUGUAAGUAUUUGUCCAUAGGGAUAUUUUGGUGGUAGGGAAUUGCAAAAGUAAUGGGCACAAGGUCUGGAGAGAAUAUCGGAGAUUAUCUUCGAAAUCUUCUGGUGCAGCCGGCAAUCAUUUGUAAUAAGGGGCUCUCCGGGAGGAAGUAGUUACGAGAACCUAGAGUCAGAUUUAGUAAAAUCAUUUAACCCGAAUAGAAGAGAGAUCAGAGUCCCAGAGUAUAGACGAGGAAUAAAAGAUCCUAAUACCACCCAAUGGUGACGUGGGCCCGUAAGACACACAGCCAUGCUAGUAAAAGUUUUGCAAUCUCUAGACUCGACUUCGGCCAAGGAGUGUGGAAGGGGGAUUCCUACAGGCAGUCGGCUCUGAUACCAACUUGUGACGCCCCCGAUUUGACCGUACACUAAUCAUGCACGCAAAUGUGUACGAUCAAGAUCAGGGACUCACGGGAAGAUAUCACAACACAACUCUACAACAUAAAUAAGUCAUACAAGCAUCAUAAUACAAGCCAGGGGCCUCGAGGGCUCGAAUACAAGUGCUCGAUCAUAGACGAGUCAGCGGAAGCAACAAUAUCUGAGUACAGACAUAAGUUAAACAAGUUUGCCUUAAGAAGGCUAGCACAAAAGUAGCAACGAUCGAAAAGGCAAGGCCUCCUGUCUGGGACCUCCAAACUACUCCUCGAAGCCGAACUCCAUGUAGAAUCAUCCUCGGGAUCUCUAGCUCCUGGACUCCAUCAUCUGGUUGCGACAACCAGAUAUAGAAAGGGGAAAAGAGGGAGAAAAGCAACCGUGAGUACUCAUCCAAAGUACUCGCAAGCAAGGAGCGACACUACAUAUGCAUGGGUAUAUGUGUAAAGGGCCAUAUCGGUGGACUGAGCUGCAGAAUGCCAGAAUAAGAGGGGGAUAGCUAAUCCUGUCGAAGACUACGCUUCUGGCCACCUCCAUCUUGCAGCAUGUAGAAGAGAGUAGAUGGUAAGUUCACCAAGUAGUAUCGCAUAGCAUAAUCCUACCUGGCGAUCCCCUCCUCGCCGCCCUGUUAGAGAGCGAUCACCGGGUUGUAUCUGGCACUUGGAAGGGUGUGUUUUAUUAAGUAUCCGGUUCUAGUUGUCAUAAGGUCGAGGUAAAACUCCGGUUCGUCCUUUUACCGAGGGACACGGCUAUUCGAAUAGAUAAACUUCCCUGCAGGGGUGCACCACAUAACCCAACACGCUCGAUCCCAUUUGGCCGGACACACUUUUCUGGGUCAUGCCCGGCCGCGGAAGAUCAACACGUCGCAGCCCCACCUAGGCACAACAGAGAGGUCAGCACGCCGGUCUAAAUCCUAUGGCGCAGGGGUCUGGGCCCAUCGCCCAUUGCACACAUGCACGUUGCGAACGCGGCCGGAAGCAGACCUAGCCUAGCAGGCGUUCCAGUCCAAUCCGGCGCGCGCCACUCAGUCGCUGACGUCACGAAGGCUUCGGCUGGUACCACGACGUCUAGUGCCCAUAACUGUUCCCGCAUAGUUGGUUAGUGCGUAUAGGCCAGUGGCCAGACUCGGAUCAAAUACCAAGAUCUCGUUAAGCGUGUUAAGUAAACGCGAAAGUCGACCAGGGCCAGGCCCACCUCUCUCCUAGGUGGUCUCAACCUGCCCUAUCGUUCCGCCACAAAGUAACAGUCGGGGGCCGUCGGGAAUGCAGGCCCACCUCUACCGGGAUGGAGCCACCUGCCCCUUCAGCCCCCAUCUCCGAACAGUAUCAUAAGUAAUGAAACAGCAUCAAGUAUAUAGCAUAUGCCCAUGAUCACCUCCCGAAGUGAUCACGGCCCAGUAGUAUAUCAAGGCAGACGGACAAGAGUGUAGGGCCACUGAUGGAAUACUAGCAUCCUGUACUAAGCAUUUAGGAUUGCAGGUAAGGGUAACAAGUGUAGCAACAAUGACAGGCUAUGCAGCAGAAUAGGAUUAACGGAAAGCAGUAACAUGCUACACUACUCUAAUGCAAGCAGUAUAGGAAAGAAUAGGCGAUAUCUGGUGAUCAAGGGGGGCUUGCCUGGAAGCUCAGCCGAGAAGGAGGGGUCGUUAACACCGUAGUCCAACUGGGGAUCGCCGGCAGUCUCGGGGUCUACCGGAAAGAAGUAACGGAGGGGGAACACAAUAAAUAACAGAGCAAUCAAAGCAUCACAAAGCAUAACAUGGCAAUGCGCGGUGCUAGGGGUGACCUAACGCAGUAGUAGGUGGUACCGGCGAAGGAGGCAAACAUCCGGGAAAGUAUUCCCGGUGUUUCGCGUUUUCAGACAAAUGAACCGGAGGGGGAAAGUUGCGUGUUCGCUAUGCUAGGGACGCGUGGCUCACAAACGGACUGCCCAUUUAGAUUCAUCUCGUCGUUCUGAGCAACUUUCAUGUAGAAAGUAUUUUCAUCUGAGCUACGGUUAAUUUUAUAUUAAUUUUAAAAGAUUUAAAUCAUUUUUAGGAUUAAUUGAAAUAUUUUAAUUCAACAUUAUCCAGAACAGUGUCUGCUGACGUCAGCAGUCAACAGAGGUGUUGACUGGUCAAACUGACGUGUGGGCCCAGUGGGACCCACCUGUCAUACACUGUUAGGUUAAUUAGGGUUUAGGUUAAACUAAUUACUGUUUAUUUAAACUAACAGGUUAAUUAGAUUAAUUAAAUAGGAUUAAUUAACUUAAUUAAUUAAAUUUAUUAUUAUUAUUAUUUUCUAAAAAACGUUCUGGGGCGGGCCCCUUAUCAUAGGCCCCGGGGGGCUAGCGGGCAAAAGGGCAGCGGGCGGAGCCCCGUUAGCGCGCGGGCGCUGGUGGGCACCACGCCCGAAUGGGCAAAAUCGGGGCGCCGGCGAGUGGCCCGCCGGAGCGCGNNNNNNNNNNNNNNNNNNNNNNNNNNNNNNNNNNNNNNNNNNNNNNNNNNNNNNNNNNNNNNNNNNNNNNNNNNNNNNNNNNNNNNNNNNNNNNNNNNNNNNNNNNNNNNNNNNNNNNNNNNNNNNNNNNNNNNNNNNNNNNNNNNNNNNNNNNNNNNNNNNNNNNNNNNNNNNNNNNNNNNNNNNNNNNNNNNNNNNNNNNNNNNNNNNNNNNNNNNNNNNNNNNNNNNNNNNNNNNNNNNNNNNNNNNNNNNNNNNNNNNNNNNNNNNNNNNNNNNNNNNNNNNNNNNNNNNNNNNNNNNNNNNNNNNNNNNNNNNNNNNNNNNNNNNNNNNNNNNNNNNNNNNNNNNNNNNNNNNNNNNNNNNNNNNNNNNNNNNNNNNNNNNNNNNNNNNNNNNNNNNNNNNNNNNNNNNNNNNNNNNNNNNNNNNNNNNNNNNNNNNNNNNNNNNNNNNNNNNNNNNNNNNNNNNNNNNNNNNNNNCGGCGAGGCGGCACCGGGCGGCGUCGGCGGCCUCCUCCUCUCGAUCCCGAUCCAAUCGGGAGAGAGAGGGGGGAAGAUAUUUCGGGGGGUGUGGGGGUGUCGGUGGGUGAGUGGGGGAGUGGGGGAGGUUAUGGGGUGCGGGGUGGGCCGGCCAAGUGGGUUGGCCCAAUGGCCUGCUGGGCCAGAGCCCCGGGGGUGUUCUUUUCCUUCUUCUUUUUUUGUUAGUUUUCUUUUCUGUUUUUGUGUUUUCUUUUCUUUUUAUUUAUUUUCUUUUCUGUUUUAAAACAUUUUAAAAAUAUUUAGGCAUUUUCUAAAAAGGAGUUCUCUUCACUAUAAUUACCUAUGUAAUAUUAGGCACUACCCGAACAUUUUUGUUUUAACUUUUGAAAAGUUUGAUGAUUGACAUUAUUUAAAUUUUUGAAUUUGAAAAGUUUUGAUCCAACGCGAGAUUAGCAACAGUAACCGCGGUGACGUGGCAUCAUUAACAUGGAAUUACUGUAGCUUAAAUAUCCGGGCGUCACAGAUGUGCUGCCAGCGUCGGCUCGCCGAGGAGCGCCGUCGCGGCGAGUACGAGGAGAUGCUCGAGCGCGACCUUGAGGAGGAGGAGGCGCGCCAAGCCGCGGCUGCACAGGCGGCCGCACAGCCCCCCGCGCCGGCACUGCCCCUGCCGGAACAGCUGCCCACGGACUACAUCGCCGCCGCAUGGAACACGGCGUUCCCCUGGGCCGGCCCUGCGCCGAUGCUCAUCGACCUCACCCACCCCGAGGAGGACGACGACGGCGCCUAGGGCGCGCUGGGCAGCGCUCCGCCUCGUAGGUAGGUUGUUUUUAAUUUCUUUUAAUGCUAAUGUGGACGCAUGGACUCUCGCCGGCCUUCCUGGCCGGCUUUAAUGUUUAAUUAAGUUGUUUUAUUUUAAAUAUGCAUGCACGGUUUUUUUUGUCGGCGCCGUCAAAAUGGGUCAGCUAACAGUCAAAGGCAUUGACCCGACGGCAAGGUCCGUUAUAACCAGUUAUGAGGGUUUCGGGCAAUGGAGUGGGGAAAAGUGAGCAAAAGUUAACAGAGUGGGGAUGAAUGAGUAGGGCUAAGGAACCAGGGGCACAGAAAUAAAAAUCCCUAUUUUCUAUCGGCAACGUCUUUUUUUUGCAAAGAUCAUGUCUAUUACAAAGAUUCUGAUACAAAGUACCUCAAAUAUAAUAAAGGGUCUGUCUAGGACACAUCUAGAUGUGACAUAGUUAUGUCACAUCUAAGCUUAUGUCAACUCUGUUUGUGAUUUUUUUGUCCUAGUUUUUUUUUCUUAUUGCUGCAUUAUAUAUUUGUGGGAGCUUAGAUGUGACAUCCUUAGAAAAUAUCUAGAUGUGAAUUAGACAAACUGUAAUAAAAAUGACAUCAAAGAUCAGAUCUAUUAGAAAGAUUCCGAUAGAAAGCACCUCAAACAUAAUAAAAAUGACAUCGAGGUUUAUGGACCAUCAAACGACCAUUAACCCCACCAAAACGAACUGUCGACACGCCACUGUCAUUGCGCCGGUGGACGUUCACGGAGAGCUGACCGAUACAACAAUGCUGGCAUCCAUGGACAAUAUUUGGGAAAUUAGACUUUUUUUCCAUCGGACUUGCUUUUUCUGGGACGCUAAAAUUUGGGCUACUGAUCCACCAUCCUCGUCCAGUAGUAUUUUGCAAAAGGCGGCUACUAGGCAUUAGGCGGCUGAUAUAGAAAGAUCGGUCGGCUGGCUAGCCGCGCAAUCACAGCUCACAACUGCCGAUUAGUCGUGUGUCAUCUCGUCCUUCCUCACACACAUGUGAUGGGGAAUGUUGCAUGGAAAACAAAAAAAUAUCCUACGAAACGCUCAAGAUCUAUUCUAUGGAGAUGCUAGCAACGAGAGGGGGAGUGUCUACAUACCCUUGUAGACCAAAAGCGUUAACGAUCUAGAAAUCAUGGUUGGCACGGUCGUACUCCCUUCGCGAUCCAAUCCUAUCCGGUGUCGGACGGACGGUACCUCCGAGAUGUGCACACGGCUCGAUGACGUCUCCGCCUUCUUGAUCCAGCAAGGGAGGGUGGAGAGGUAGAUAGGAUCUAGGCCAACACCAUGAUGUGAUGGUGGUGGUGGUGGUGGUGGGAGCGGAACUGCAGCAGGGCUUUGCCAAGCGCUACGCGAAGGAGAUGGGAGAGGUAACGACCAGGCAAAGGGGUGAGCCUCUCCCUUGCACCCCACCUUAUAUAGGGGUGUGGGAGGGGGCGGAUGCCCCCCCCUCCGAGCCAGGGGAAGAUGCCCCCUCCAAGCCGAGGUGUGGAUGCCCCCCCAGGACGCAUGGACCUGGUGGGGUGCAGCCCCCUUGCCCCAAGUAGGCCUAGGGCGCUUGUGGCCCUCUGGGCUGGUGGGCCCCUUUGGCCCCCGGAACCCUUCGGGACCUCCAGUACACUGCCGGCAAUUCCCCGAACUUUUCCGAUACUCCAGAUAUCACUUCCCAUAUAUAAAUCUUUAUCUCCGGACUAUUUCAGAGCUCCUCGCGAUGUCCCAGAUCGCAUCCGAGACUCCAAACUAAUGUCGGACUCACCAUAUGAAUAUCCCAAUACUACGCUAGCUUUACCGAACGUUAAGUGUGUGACCCUACGGGUUGGAGAACAUGCAGACAUGAAUGUGAUCCUCUCUGAUCAAUAAUCAAUAGUGGGACCUAGAUGCCCAUAUUGACUCCCACAUAUUCAAUGAAGAUCUUUAUCGGUUUGAACCACAAUAUUGAGGAUUCAGUUAAUCUCAUAUGCAAUUCUCAUUGUCCGGCAGUAUGUUACUUGCCCGAGAUUUGAUCGUCGGUAUCCCCAUACCUAGUUCAAUCUUGUUACCAGCAAGUCUCUUUACACGUUCUGUAAUACUCCCUCCGAUCCUUUUUAGUCUGCAUAUAAGUUUUGUCUGAAUUCAAUGUAUCUCUACUUUGACCAAACUUAUAGAAAAAAAAUCAACAUUCACGAUGCCAAAUCAACAUUGUCAGAUUCAUUAUGAUAUUUUUUUAAUAUAAAUUUGGUCAAACUUUGUAAAGUUUGACUUGACACAAAUCUAAUACGCUGAGUAAAAAGGACCGGAGAGAGUACAAGAUCCUCGUGACUAAACACAUUAAUCACAUGCUUGCAAGCUAUUCAUGAUGUUGUAUUACCAAGAGGGCCGAGAGAUAUCUCUCCGUCACAUGGAGCGACAAAUCCCAGUCUCGAUCCAUGCAAUCCAACAAACAUUUUCCGAGAUACCUGUAGAGCACCUUUAUGAUCACUCAGUUACAAAGUGACGUUUGAUAACCCACAAAGUAUUCCUCCGGCAUUCCGGAGUGGCAUGAUCUCAUAGUCUAAGGAACAGAUACUUGACAUGAAGAAAGUUGUAGCAAAUAAACCAAGUGAUCUGAUGCUAAGCUUGCGGUUAGGUUUGUCCAUCACAUCAUUCUCCUAAUGAUGUGACCCCGUUAUCAAAUGACAACUCAUGUCUAUUGUUAGGAAACCUUAAUUAUCUUUGAUCAACGAGCCAGUUUAGUAGAGGCUUACUAAAGACACAAUAUUCGUUUAUGUAUCUACACAUGUAUUUAAGUUUUUGAUCAAUACAAUUAUAGCAUGGAUAAUAAAUAUUUAUCAUGAACAAGGAAAUAUGAUAAUAACAUCUUUAUUAUUGCCUUUAGGGCAUAUUUCCAACAGUCUCUCACUUACACUAGAGUCAAUAAUCUAGUUUAAAUCGUAAUGAAUCUAACACCCAUAGAGUUCUGCUGCUGAUCAUGUUUUGCUCGUGGAAGAGGUUUAGUCAAUGGGUCUAGCACAUUCAGAUCCAUAUGAAUUUUGCAAAGCUCUAUGUCUCCUUCCUUGAUGUAAUCAAUGGUGAAGUUGAAACGACGUUUGAUAUGCUUGGUCUUCUUGUGAAAUCUGGGCUCCUUGCAAUGGCAAUGACGCCAGUCUUGUCAGAAUAGAUAGUCAUGGGAUCCAAUGCACAAGGAACCACUCCUAAAUUGGACAUGAAUUCCUUCAUCUAGACUCCUUCAUGCGCUCCUUCCGAAGCAACUAUAUAUUUCGUCUCACCUGUAGAUGCUGCUACCACACUCUGCUUGGAUCUACUCUAACUGACUGCUCCACCAUUUAAAAUAAAUACGUAUCCAGUUUGAGACUUCAAGUCAUCCGGACCAGUGUCAAAGCUAGCAUCGACGUAAUAGUUUACAACGAGCUCUUUAUCACCUCCAUAAAUGAGAAACAUUUCCUUAGUCCUCUUUAGGUACUUGAGGAUAUUUUUGAACGCUGCCCACUGGUCCACUCCUGGAUCACUCUGGUACCUCCCAACCAAACUUAUGGCAAGUUACACAUCAGGUCAGGUACACAACAUGUCAUACACGAUAGAGCCUAUCACUACAAAAAAAAGACACAUCCGUGACAUUUUGGGCCGAACGAAAUUAUUUUCUGUCAUACAUAUGACACUUCUAUGACGAUAAUUGUGACAAAACCCGGUAUCAUCAUAGAUGUGGUGGGCUCCUACUUCUAUGACAAAAAAUCAUGAAAGAAAAUGGGCUUUUCAUCCUGCGCGGGCCGGAGACGCAGCUGCAUGACAUUCUUUGGGCCGUCCAUGACGGAAAAAACCGUGGUAGAAGCGAGGGGGAGGAAAAUUUCGGGGAGUUCCCGGUUACGGUGGGAGGUCGGGGGCCGAGCGAUGCGCGUUUCUCUCGUACACGUACGCGCGUGUGUGCGAGGCGUUGGCUCUAACUGAAUCCGAGCGAGGCGUUGGGCUCUAAUUGAACCCGAGCGAUUGCACUGCAGGCUACGCGUUACUGAACCCGAGCAAUCGAUUGAUGGCUGUUAUCUGAACCCGAUCGAGCGAUUCCUUCGCUACUGCUGCUAACUGAAGCCGAUCGAUUGGNNNNNNNNNNNNNNNNNNNNNNNNNNNNNNNNNNNNNNNNNNNNNNNNNNNNNNNNNNNNNNNNNNNNNNNNNNNNNNNNNNNNNNNNNNNNNNNNNNNNNNNNNNNNNNNNNNNNNNNNNNNNNNNNNNNNNNNNNNNNNNNNNNNNNNNNNNNNNNNNNNNNNNNNNNNNNNNNNNNNNNNNNNNNNNNNNNNNNNNNNNNNNNNNNNNNNNNNNNNNNNNNNNNNNNNNNNNNNNNNNNNNNNNNNNNNNNNNNNNNNNNNNNNNNNNNNNNNNNNNNNNNNNNNNNNNNNNNNNNNNNNNNNNNNNNNNNNNNNNNNNNNNNNNNNNNNNNNNNNNNNNNNNNNNNNNNNNNNNNNNNNNNNNNNNNNNNNNNNNNNNNNNNNNNNNNNNNNNNNNNNNNNNNNNNNNNNNNNNNNNNNNNNNNNNNNNNNNNNNNNNNNNNNNNNNNNNNNNNNNNNNNNNNNNNNNNNNNNNNNNNNNNNNNNNNNNNNNNNNNNNNNNNNNNNNNNNNNNNNNNNNNNNNNNNNNNNNNNNNNNNNNNNNNNNNNNNNNNNNNNNNNNNNNNNNNNNNNNNNNNNNNNNNNNNNNNNNNNNNNNNNNNNNNNNNNNNNNNNNNNNNNNNNNNNNNNNNNNNNNNNNNNNNNNNNNNNNNNNNNNNNNNNNNNNNGGACCCCCGUUUCGACCGUAGGAGGUCUGUUUCCUCCGUUUUGCCGUACGCCACACCCCUCCCGAUCAACAGGACCCCGUUCCGAACGUAGGAGGUCCGUUUCCUCUGUUUUGCGGUACGCCAGGCCUCGUUUCCAUCGCCUGUUCCGUCCAAGCCCUCCCGAUGAACACGACCACGCAUUCCGUUCCGACCCAGCCGGUUGGCUCCCACGCGUUCCGUUGCCUCCCGAUGAACACGACGCAUUCCGUUGCCUCCCCAUGAACACGACGCAUUCCGUUGCCUCCCCAUGAACACGACGACGACGUUGUUUCUCCGUUCCGACCCAGCCAUGUACACGAGCCCUGGCCGUACGUAUGCGCGAGUAGGCGUUCGAGACCCCGCCCGUAUGUACACAUACGUGGCCAUAUUUUCUUUCUUGCACCCUGGCCGCUGUACGUACGUGUACAUGCUACGUGCGCGCCUCUACUACGACACGUGCGUGCCUAUACAUCGACCAGCAUGUACGUACACGUUCGCGACCAGAAUGACAACGCUACGUACGCUUCGACUAGGUGGGUCCCGACUGUCAGGCACUUCCUUGCUUGCGAAGAUGUAGCUGGUGGGUCCCAGCAGUCAGGGGGGUGAAUCGUUUUUUUUGCCCGGACGCACUUCCUUGCGUGCGAAGGUGUAGCUAGUGGGUCCCAACAGUCAGGGGGGCGAAUCGUUUUUUUUGCCCGGACGCACUUCCUUGAGUGCGAAGAUGAAGCUGGUGGGUCCCAGCAGUCAGGGGGAAACGUUUUUUCCAUGAAAUACAGUGGCCCGUCCGGUGGGUCCCAGCUGUCAGGUGCAGGAAUCUUUUUUUUCCGCGUAAUAAGGAGGCACUUCCUUGCUGCGGCCGUGGACCCAGCUGUCAACCUCUCCACGUGCAGUCCACGUCCGAUGGAAGUCGUUCCUUGACCACAUUGACCAGGCCGCGCCGAGAGCACCAUGGCGGUGGACGACGGCGAGGCCUAGGAAGGGGACGGCGUGGAGCCGGGGAAGACGCGGCAGUGGAAGCCCGCGCGGAAAGGAGUACGAGGGUUCACUGGUUCGGCUGCGGUGUGAGGCUACCGUCGCCGCAGGGCCUGGCCAGCGGUGGGAAUAGUAGGGGGCCGUGAGGCCUCUGCGGUAGCACAGCCGGCCACGGGAGGCAGGAGCAUGCGGCACGAUCGGCGCUGCUUUGGGCGGCUGGAGCAAGAAGACCAGAGGUUGAAGAAGCACUACGGCCGUUGGAUGGACAUCGUACGGUCACUGGAGCAAGAAUCGUUCAUAUUGACUAAGUUGACAAAGCCCUCCGUCCCCGUCAACUUAGUUGGCCCACAAGUCAUCCUCCCACUAUGGUGGGUCCCAGCUAGCAGGGGGUAUUCAUUUUUGUGUGCGUAAUAAGGAGGCACUUCCUUGCGUGCGAAGAUAUAGCUGGUGGGUCCGACAUGUCAGCGGGGGGAACGUUUUUUUCGCGAAAUACAGAGGCCCUUCUGGUGGGUCCCAGCUGUCAGGUGGAGGAAUCAUUAUUUUGCGCGUACAGUCCACGGCCGAUGGAUGUCGUUCGUUGACCAUGUUGACCAGGCCACGCCGAGAGCACCAUGGCGGUGGACGACGACGAGGCCUAGGAAGGGAACGACACGGAGCCGGGGAAGACUCGGCAAUGGUUGCCCGCGGUGAGGAGUACGAGGGUUUACUGGUCCGGCUGCCGUCGCCGGAAAAUAACAGGAGGUGUGGGUGAGUAGAGGAAUGGCCUGGCCAGCAAUGAAGUAGGGUGGGGCGGUGCGGCCUGUGCGGCAGCACAGCCGGCCACGGGAGGCGGGAGCAGGCAGUCCAACCGGAGCUGGUUUGGGCGGCUAGAGCAAGAAGAUUAGAUAUUGAAGAAGCAACACGGCCGUUGGAUUAACAUCCAAUGGUCACUGCUGCUAGAAUCGUUUGUGGACUAAGUUGACAAAGCCAAAGUACACGUCAACCUAGUAGACCCACAAGUCAGCCUCCAAAUCUGUCCCAAACAGCAUACAGCCCGAAAUUUCUAGCCAGAUUCAAAUUAAUUUUAAAUCUAAAUAUACCUUAAUUUAAAUUCAAUGAAAUUUUACCCGCACAAAAACAGUGAAAUUUAAAAUAUCAAAAUCCGAAAGAAAACAGUAUUUUGGAACUAAUUGCCUGUUUGCUGUAUUUUUUCAUUUUACAGCCCAUUUAUUAUUACUUAUAGCCCAUUUCUUAUUACUUAUAGCCCAUUUUCUGGGCAAAAUGCAUCCCUCCUCGUCUUGAAAGAUUUCCGGCCCAGCAGGGCGUAGAAAAGCAAGUAGGCCUACGUUGGUUAUUCUGCAAAAAACAAAAUAGCUAGCUAGCCAUUUUCAGAAAGGAAAAAAACAAACUGGGCUGGUCAUGUGCUAAACAUAUGAAAUAAAAGCCUGGGCUAGAUGGGCCACGGGUCCCGCACAACCCAGUUGAUACCCUUCUCCGUCCUGAAAAAACAAAAUUACUGCGCGCGCUGCUGGGUCCCUACUGUCAUCCUCACCAUGUACAGUCAUCUCCUUAUUGCUCUCGGCUGUUGACCAUAUUGACAACACCGGAGGGCGGCGCCGCGGCAAGCGAACCAAGGCGAAGGACGAUGGUGAGGCCUCGGACGGGAACGAACAGGAGCCGGGGAAGAUCACAGCCAGCCGUGGGAGGCGGGAGCAAGCGGUCCCGCCGGCGCUGGUUUGGCUUUGGCGGCUCGAGGAAGAAGAGACUGAAGAAACGCGACAGACGUUGAAUGUCAAUCCAACGGUCAAGGUUGGCACAAUCGUUUGUUGACUAAGCGGACACCAAGUAGCAUACUUUUUAUAUAUAGGAAGAAAACUGCGAGGAAAAUGCGUUCGUUUGUCCUCCUCCUCACAGGGAACGUUCGCCACAUAAGUGACUAGCACCCUUGGUUUUCAACUGAGAGGUCUUGGGUUCGAGUCCCAGGAACUCUCAAUUUUGUCCUCCUUCCUUCCUCGCAAAAAAGGGAAAGAAAAUCAAAGACUUGGGAAGGCGUCCAGAACAAGCUAGUGUACUAGUAAAGAGACGUUGCCGAGUUUUAGAAAAAAGAAAGACGUGCUCCUGUAGCUGGUUCGAAUCCAAACCUAGACUAUGACUAUAUAUGGUGCUAUGCUACUCUGCAAGUAAUGAAAUUGACAUAUCCAACGUUCGCUUCUCCUCUUCUCUACUUACUCUGCCUAGCAUCAGAAGCUCUAGCCGCAGCAACCAUGUCCGCUGGCUGCUCGUCCACCUGCUCUUCAGCAGGCAACAACCAGAUAUCUGCCAAGUCGCCACCCGUACCAUCGCCUAUGGGUCUCAUCACACCCACGCCGGCACGCGCACCACAGCCGAUUGCUCAUCACAAUCCGCUGCCGUUGGUGUGGUGCCACUGCUGCAAAUCAUGCAGAGUCAUCCGUCGCGUCUCAACCACAAUCCGCAACCCUGGCCGAGUCUUCUACAAAUGCCCGAAUCAUGGGGUAAUAAUAUGUUUAAGUGUUGUUCUGCUGCUUUCAGUUGCUGAUUUUUUUAAUAGUUUGGUUGAUGAUCUUCCAAUUUGAUUCGUGUAGAAAAGGGAAGAUUCGUGUGAUUUGUAUUUCUGGGAAGUUGCUGAUGUGGGGGAAUGCAACUAUGCUGAUUAUUUGGUUAGCCGAGGAAUCCCAAUACCAGCAGGUUGGGGUGUUGGACAAGUAACUGAAGGAACGGCAGAAGAGGAAGAUGCAGAGCAGAAGGUUAAAGAUGCAGUUCCUCUGAUCAUGGCCAAGCAACAGCUGCUGAACGACCUUGACAGCAAUGAGGAGAUGAAAGAGCUUGUGAAGAUAAUGGGCAAAAUCGAUGUGCUCUGUAGGAUGAUUGUCUCUUUAUUUGCAGUGUAUGUAGCACUCGUGAUGUAUUCAGUGGCUACGACAUGAGCACUUUGCUGAAACUAGUAAUGAAUGAAACCUGUGUAGCAGGCUGGGCGUAGUUUUGUGAACAUCUAAUGAUUUCUAUUAACGGAAAUCAGGGGGUAUCCCCUUUUGCUCAUAUAAAUAAAUAAAUAACAGAGGCCCUGUCAGGUCAGCUUUGUUCUCAUUCGAAGACGUCGAGCAAAUUGCAGUCCGACAGCAAACUAUGUCAUCAAAUUUAAGUUUCGCAGCCAAAUAUGAGUACAACUAAACAGCAAUGUCAUCAUGUUUUAGUUGUCAUACAAUCACCAAACACAAAUCAGCAUACAUAACAAGUGAUGUUCUCACAGCAAAAUACUAAACAACAUGUUCAUCAGGUUUCAGUUGUCAUAGCAAACACAAUUUCACAUAGUAGAUAAAAAAACGUCUUCUGACAGGCAAAUACGACAAAAGCAAUGUAAUCAUCAUCCGCAGCAGCAGCGUCAACAUCUUUGCCAUGUGUAUCAGUCUGAAUCGUAAUUCCCCAUGGUGUCAUCUUCUUCUUCGUCCUCAACGUCCUCGAACGUUGGCUUCUUCUUGAUCAACUCUUGUAUGUCCACAGCACGACAGGCAAUCUUUUCGCCGGCGUCAUUGACGUGAUGGUUCUCAAAGAUAUUAGGAACAUCUGUGUUAUCUUGUACAUCAGGAGCAGUGUAAGCAUCAUCUUGUUGUGCAACUUCAUUAAACGAAUUCCUCUGCUCAAACCUUUGCAAUACUCUCCAGUCAUCGCUACGUGCAAAUGUGUCUUCCAAGAAAAAUAUAUGUGUUGCUUGAUUUGCCAAAAUAAAAGGCUCGUUGGUCUGGUACGCCGCCUUGACAUUGAUGGAUUUGAAAUAAUCAUCAGCUCUGGGUUUUGCGAUCCCGGAAAACAGGUUAUACCAAGGACAGCACAACAGAACCACACACUGAUGAUCCUUGAAACUGGAGAUAUACUACAACUGAACAAUGUCUGUUAUGUUAGCAUACAUUUCAGUUGUCUCUUUGUCAUACGUAUCCGUGCUCAUGAUGGCACUGUUUUGUGUCUUCCUGCCUUCGUCUCGUGCAAGGGUGUUGUAGCGCACAUCUCCAACAACGCAAGAUUCAUAAUGUCUUACCCGAGUAUCAGGACCCAUUGCUAGUGAGUAAAGGGCAUCAUCAACUGCCUGCCCAUCCUCCCGCAUCUUCUUAACCUAUGGUUAUAAAAUAGACAAGUUGAUCAUCUUAUGUACUCAAUAUAUUAAAAAAACUGACAGUGCACUUCAAAAGCUUACAUGGUUCUUGAACCAUUUCGCAAUUCCUGCCAUAACUAGUUUGUCAAUGUUUCUUGGAUUUUGCGGCAGUAACUCUUCUUUGUAGAUGUUGCACAACAUAGUGAUCGCGUCAAACAUCUAAAUAUAUAAGAAUGUGCUGCAAGUUUAGUAGAUUACGAUGUAUAAGCUGCAGUACUGCACUUACUUGAUAUAAGGUAGUAUCUCAGGACAGUUAUUCAACACAUACCAAACCAUUUUGUCCAAAUCUUUAGGUUUGUCCUCUUGUCGACUCUUCCCUUAACUCGAACAGAAUAAUCAAAAACUUUGAGCCCGGGAUUGUCUUCACCCACCUCUUUGCUAAGCUGAUCAGCUGUUUCAAUGUAUUUUGAGCAGAAUGUCAACGCUUCUGUAGCAAUGUAGGCCUCUGCAAUGGAACCCUCGGGUCUAGCUCUGUUCCUAACAUAGCCCUUGAAAGUGCCUAGCCGCCUUUCAAUAGGGUACAUCCAGCCAUACUGUACUGGACCUCUAAGUAGUGCCUCAUCAGGUAGAUGAACAGCCAAAUGCACCAUCACAUCAAAGAAGGCUGGAGGAUAUAUCUUCUCAAGGUCGCAUAGGAUAGUUGGUAUCUUGUCUCUAAGACGCUCCAAAGCAUCUAUCCUGAUAUUCCUACUGCAGAGUUCCCUGAAGAAUUGUCCCAACUCUGCAACUGCUCUGUAUAAGUCAGGGCGGCCCAAUCCUCUAAGGAUAAUAGGUAAAACCCUUUGAAGUAGGAUGUGGCAGUCAUGAGCUUUCAACCCUUGUACCUUGUUUCCAUCUGCACUGACUCUCCUUUCAGGGUUGGAAGCAAAUCUAUGUGGGAAUCUCACACGUGACAGGACCUCGCAGAAUUCUUUUCUUUUUACCUUGUCCAAGACGUACACAGCUGGUGCCAUAUCCCGUGGUUUACCUUCAUCUUGCACCUGCAAAUCCUUUCUGAUACCCAGGUGUGUCAAAUCAAUCCUAGAUUUUAAGGUAUCUUUCGUCUUGCCUUCAAUAUUAAGAAGUGUGCCGAUAAUGCUGUCACAUAUAUUUUUCUCGAUGUGCAUCACAUCAAGAUUAUGCCGCAGAUCCAAAUCUUUCCAAUACUCCAAGUCCCACAAAGUGGACCUGCAGGUAAACAAUAAUCUCUCUUCUACCCUGCCACACUUCCUUUUCUUGCUACCAUUACCAGGAUGGUUUCUUGGUGUAAUAUGCCUGACCUUCUCUAAUUCCACUUGCAACUCAUCGGCGGUGAGCCUCUUUGGCGCAUCACGGUUUUCAUGCUUUGCAUUGAACACAUGUCUUCGGUAUUUUCUAGGAUGCGGCUUGUCCUUGGCAAGGAAACGGCGGUGUCCAAUGUAACAGAUCUUGCUAAGUAUUGCGUAUGACAGCGGAUUCCUGUCACAGCGAACACAUGCAUUGCAACCAUGUGUCGUUCGCCCUGACAUAGUGCCCAAAGCUGGAUAAUCAUGGAUGCACCAAAUUAUAAUAGCACGCAGAAAGAAAUCAGCUGGUGGGCUGCUAUAUAGGUCUCGAGUGAGAACACCAUUCCAUAGCUGUUGAAGUUCCUCCACAAGAGGCUCCAUGAACAAAUCAAAAUCCUUUCCAGGACUUUUUGGACCUGGGAUGAGCAAGGCCAUCAUGUAGUUUGAUUCUUUGGUGCAGACAUUUGGAGGCAUGUUGUAAGGGAUAACAAGCACUGGCCACAUGCUAUAUGUGGCGCUCUGGUGGCCAAAUGGGUUAAAUCCAUCUGAAGCUAAGCCAAGUCUAAUGUUUCUCGGGUCAGCAGCAAACUCUUUGUGUUUAUCAUUGAAGCUUUUCCACUCACUACCAUGAGAUGGAUGGCUCAUUACAUUCUGAUCUCUGUACUCCUGGUUCCUAGAAUGCCACAGUACAUCCUCUCUUGUUUCAGCAUCAUGAAACAACCUCUGCAAUCUUGGUGUAAUUGGAAAAUAUCUCAGAACAUUAUGAGGAAUCCUCUUCACAGCAUCACCAUCUUUCCAUCUUGAUGAUUUGCAUUUCGGGCAUUCACUUAAGUUGGCAUAAUCCUUCCGGAACAUAACACAAUUAUUCUUACAAACAUGGAUCAUAUCAUAUCCAAUUCCAACUGCACGAAGGAAAUUCUUCAUUUUACUGUAGGUGUGUGGCAGCUCAGACGCAUCUGGGAAAGAUUUGCGGAAAGCAGCCAACAUCACAUCGAAUGAUUUGUUGGUCAUCCGCUCAGAUGUCUUCACCUGAAGAAAGGUGACCAUAGCUGAGAAUACUGACAGCUUAUUUCCUGGGGUGACAGCAACGUUGCAUCGUUCCAACAUGCGGGCCCACCAUUUUUCUUCUGCAGGUGAAAGUUCACGGAAUGCACGAGCAUUUUGUAGCAUUGUUUCAAUGUUGGUCAAACUCACUGGCUCCGCCACCACCACCUCCUCCUCCUCUUCCACCUGAGCAUCAGGCAGAUCAAGAUGGUGAUCUGCUGCUUCCACGUAGUCAAUAACAUUAACGUUCACAGCUUCACCAUGAUGAACCCACCUAGUAUAUGUGACCGACAUCCCAUACAAGUGUAGAUGAUUUUGCACAGUUGACUGGGGUCUUGUAACUGAAUUCAUACAACUGCUACACGGGCAGAGCACAUCUGAUUUCAGACCACCGUACUCAGCUCUGAUAAAGUUCAUGAAGUUUUCAACCCCCUCGACAUAUGCAGCAGAGAAUCUUCGAGCAGAAGUUAUCCAAGUCAUGUCCAUCUGUUAGACAUACAAAUUAGUUCUUCUACUAGAUAUUAUAGGAAAAACAUAUAUGCUUUUUUAUGAAGUCCAGAAAAAAAAUACCUAGGUCGAUGUCUAAAGCUAUGGCAAGAUAUUUGGACGAGAAGAUCUAAGUAACGAAAUAUAUGUAAAGCUAAUUCAGCAAACAGAUUUGAGUGCCAAAUUAUGGCAGGCUGUUUCAGCAGUCAAUGAGGCUGAGCACACAACCAUCGAACUACCGAAGGCCAUCGCAGAAACAAAGAUCGAGUAUAAAACGGUGUAGAGCUAUUUCUCCUAACAGAUUGGCUACUAGACCAUGGCAAUCUAUGUCACAAUAAAUAUAUGGCAGGAUAUUUUAGCAACUAAUCGGCCUUGGCAUGCCAUCUCAGCUAAGCAGAUUGAGUGCAGAACAGGGCAAGGAAGCUUCUUAAGCAGAGCAUAUUGACAGUAAACUACUUCGGCAAACAGUGAGAUUAACAGCGUCUAUCAGCUAACAUUCAGCGCUACACCGACUUGAACGGGGCCUCAGUCUAGAAUGCGCGUACCGUGGGAGAAGCUGACCGCCGUGCGUCUCCACACGAACACCGCCAGCGGUGGCGGCGCUGACCGCCGUGCGCCUCCACAAGAACGUAGCCAGAGGUGGCGGCGCGGCUAGAGGACGGCAGUCUACGAGAGCGUACUGUGGGAGCGAGAGGAUCGCCGAACCACGGCGCCGACGUAUCGGNNNNNNNNNNNNNNNNNNNNNNNNNNNNNNNNNNNNNNNNNNNNNNNNNNNNNNNNNNNNNNNNNNNNNNNNNNNNNNNNNNNNNNNNNNNNNNNNNNNNNNNNNNNNNNNNNNNNNNNNNNNNNNNNNNNNNNNNNNNNNNNNNNNNNNNNNNNNNNNNNNNNNNNNNNNNNNNNNNNNNNNNNNNNNNNNNNNNNNNNNNNNNNNNNNNNNNNNNNNNNNNNNNNNNNNNNNNNNNNNNNNNNNNNNNNNNNNNNNNNNNNNNNNNNNNNNNNNNNNNNNNNNNNNNNNNNNNNNNNNNNNNNNNNNNNNNNNNNNNNNNNNNNNNNNNNNNNNNNGGUGGAGCGAAUGGAGUGGAGGGGGACAGGGGGGAGGGGGUUUGGGGAAUAUUAUUGGCUAGUUGGCCGAAGGGCGGUUGAAUCGGAUUUGGGGGGAAUUUUUGGGUGUGUGUGGGGGGGGAGGAUUUUUGCGCGGUGGACGGGGGGAGUUUGGCGCAUGGUCGGUUUCUCCAAGUGCAGUCCCACGUGUCAGUGAAGAGGCAAGCCGAAGCGCGUUCUGUUUGCGUGAGCCGUGUGCAAGACCGAACGUGUGUGGGGUGCAAUGCGACCGCGACAGGAGUGCUGUGAGUGUACCGCCUUUUUCCUUUUAAACUAGGUGCUUCGCCCCCUAAAAAAACAUUUGUUGCUUCGCGCGAUCCAUUGAUACUACUACUAGUAAUCCGGUAAUCCCGACUAAAACGGCGCGGCCGGGUCUUUUCCCGCGCGAUAUGCUGGGAGGUUGGCUUAGUUGGGUUUUUAGGACGAGUAAUGCUACACCUACGUAAUCCCAGUUACGUAAUUAACGUAAUGUGAAACGUGUGAGCUGUUGAUUAUAGAUUGGGGGAGGGAAGGGCCCACCACCAUGAAAAUCAGGGGAGGAGAGAGAGAGAGGCAAUUUACGUUACCCUUUCAUAGGUUCCCGUAGAUGUAAAAAUAUGUGAAAUGCCUGAAUGUGUAGUGGACGUACUAUUGGAGUGCCUAAGAUAAUUUGUGUAUGUAUAGACCCUAUGUGUUUAUUUUACUUCGCAUGUUAGAUUUGUCUCGGUUCAAUAAAAAGUAGAGUUGGUGAUGAUGGUGUGCCUGUCAUCCUGCAAUAUAGGCCGUCCGAUCUAUAUCUAACGGAUAGAAAGGAAACUAUGACAAUUUACCCGCACUCCUCUCCACAUUUGCAGAUAAGGCUUUCCCUCGUUCAUCCUUUUCUCCCACAAGAUCUUGAUCUUCUGUGCAACACACGGGCAUCUUGCUAGUACUCCUACAAUAUGUAUAUUAUUGUGAAAGUUCAUAUACACCAGCCGAGAUUAAUGCAAACACGACAGAUUUUCAUUACAUUUCGAACUUUUAUAGGACAGAAAAAUAAAAGAAACCCGACCCUAAACCUAUUCUACGGCGACGACCGACGUCCUCCAUCUGCGAUCUCUAUGUACGGGGGCGGGGUUCAAGACCCGUGAAGUGAAGGUGCGGUCUCCGGCGAGGAAGAGUAGAACACGGGAUACGGACCGGCCCUUUCGGCACACCAUGCCCUGCCGCCUCCCAUGCCCUACUCAUCCUCGGAGGAGUCCCCGACCUCGGCGGUGCCGGACAUUGGACGGCGGCAAGUAUGACGCGUGGCUGACGGUGCUCCCGUCGUCGGCCGCCAGCGUGGCCACCGCUUGUGCGGUCACGUCCGCGUCCGGCUACGCCGCUAUUGCGUCGCGAGAGGCGACCUGAGCGAGGGCGGCGACCUCGAGCUUCAUCCCCGAAGACAAGCUCUCCCGCAGAGCAUUCGCACUUGCGGUCAUGGCGGAUGUGGUGCCAGGUAGGAGGACGAUGCGCUAUGGUGUGGAGGUUAGCUGGGCGUUGCCGCUUUAAGUAGGGCAUUCCGGUGAGGCCAAGCGUCCGGGUGCGUCAUUAAGUCGCCGGAGUUGGUUCCUCGGGCACCGAGCCUCUUAACGACGACAUACGAACGGACGGCAUGAAUGCGGGCAGCUGGCGCCGGCUGGGAACGCACCGCACGACGGCGUGAGGGACGAGGGUUUUGGUGUGCCAGGGUAGUCAGCUGCGGUCAUGGCAACGUUGGAGAUGCCCUUUGCUCACAUGCGAUCCGCGCAUGUCAUUGAAAAAGCAAGACGACCCGGCAUGGUCUCAGGUCCAGAGGAUGAAGUUGGCCGCGCUACACCACUCCGCGGACGCGUCGCGGCGCCCCGUGCAUCCUCGACGAGCCGGGUGUUGGGGUGUGUUUGGAUUGUGGCCAAAGUGCACCUUACCAAAAUUUUGGUCAUGACCCAAAGAUUGGUCUUUGUUUGGAUGGUUGCCAUUUUUUCGGCAUGCCAAUGAACUCUAGCCAACUCUAGUUCAUUUUUCUUGCCAAUGUCGGCCAAAUCAUGGGCAACCAAUACCUCAACCAAAAUUUUGGUCAUGACCCAAAGAUUGUUCUUUGUUUGGAUGGUUGCCAUUUCUUUGGCAUGCCAAUGAACUCUAGCCAACUCUAGUUCAUUUUUCUUGCCAAUGUCGGCCAAAUCAUGGGCAACCAAUACCUCAACCAAAAUUUUGGCUACCCAAUGCUUUGAUGGGGCAACCUUGGGCACAAACCAAACAUACCGUUGGUCGUGCCACAGCACUAACGCCACCCUCGGCACACUGAAACCGACCGUGUCUAGCGACGAUAUGAGCGUGUCGCUCACCGCGGUCGCCGUGUCCAGAGGCGGUGCUGGAGCUGCACCCCGUUGUUGGCCCCAACGACCCACAUGAACGGUUGUCGGUGGCGAGGAGGUCGUGGGCCAGCUCCUCCAUUGGACUAGUCUGCGCUACGUUGUCCCGACGGGUGUGCCCCACAUGUCGGUUUCCCUGUUUUCCCGGCCAUAUUCGAGCGUCAGUGCUCCGCGUUGCGCAUUAGGCCUUUCACUAUGUAGGCCAAGCGAGACAACUUAUUGUUUAUUUGAGCCGUUCAAGUAUAAUCAUGUGGCGUUUGCUUAUUUCUCAUUCCUCUCCAACCCUCUUCUCCAUCGAUCAUGUCGCCCUCCAGUCGAGUCCAUCCUCCCGCAUGCCUCAUUUGAACAUUCCACCGAGUAUCAUUCGCAUGUACCCACCCUAGUCCUCUUUCAAUAGAUCUCCGGACCCCGAGAUGAAAUCGAGAGGGAACGAGUGGGGGCACGUGAUACCUAAGGCGGAUUCAAAAUUUUGAACCGGUGAUCAUAGCAUCCGCAAAUCAUAUAUAAAGGAUAUUCAAUGUUCGUAUCAUUUUUGAAUGUACAAUAUACUCCCCCUAUCCUUUCUAGUUUACAUAUAAGUUUUAUGUGUAGUCAAAGUAUCUCUACUUUGAUCAAAAAGGUAUCAACAUUCAACAACGCCCAAUCAAUAUUGUUAGAUUCGUACGUACUCCUAGAUUUGUACUCGAGAUGGUUUCCAAUUUGACUAUUGACAAGAUUAAUAGUACAUGAGAUGUAUAAUGUGAAAAUUAUAUCAUUGGAAACUCCUUUCACAUAUGAAUUUGACCGUAUGCUUUGUGUAAGUUGCAUGUCAUAUAUUAUUACUCUAACAUUUGGUCAAAGUUAGCCUCGAAAAACGCAUUAGACCCUGUAUGCUUCGUGUAAGUUGCAUGUCAUAUAUUAUUACUCUAACAUUUGUGUAAGUUGCAUGUCAUAUAUUAUUACUCUAACAUUUGGUCAAAGUAGUAUAGUGGAAGUGGAUCCUCUGACGUAGGUAUCCCUGCCUUACCCUCCCUUUCGGUCACUUACUGGCGGACCCCAUGCUUGCUAGGCCCCGCAUGUCAGUUACUCAAUGGGUUCGGCUACGUCAGGGGAUCCUCAUCCGUAGUAUACUCCCUCUGUUUUUAUUUACUCCGCAUAAAACGGAGGGAGUGGUGGUAUAAUAAAUGAAGCGGGCGGGGGAGGGGGAGGGACGUCGGUUUGCUCUCAACUGCGGUCCCACAAGCGAGCGAAAACGCAAGACGAAGCGCGUUCCAUUCGGUGAGCGACGUGGAGGGUCCAGCGUGCCGGGCUGCAACGCGAACACGACAAGAGCGAUGUACAGUCAAAACCGAUUGACCGGUCGUCACCGGAACCACUAUUCACACCAGAACCUUCGCUGCUCGGCCUACGCCAGCCACUGCCCUAAAACCACACCAAAUCUCCAGCCCAUUCCCCCACCUUUCGAUCCCCUAGACCGCAUCAAGCGUCCCCUAGUUCGCCGGAAAGCCAUGGUGCGCCGCAAGAUCACUUACUACAAGAUGCUGACGCCGGAGCGCCGCGCAGAAAUCGCGGCGGCGGUCGGCGCCACAGACCUCCAUUCCCAAGCUCGCUUUGCGGCGGGCCAAUCCCCGAGUUCUCUGGAGCCAAGCUACGAGGAGGAGGAAGCCGAUCCAAUGUUCAUGGCGGAGGUCGCAGCGUAGAAGGCCCCCGAUGGGUAUGAGACGAUGGACGUCGACUUCGUGCCGGCGUCCGAGUCCCCCAUGGUGCAGGCGGACCAGCGGUUCAACAUGGCGAUACUAAAGGAGGACCGGGAGGCAGAGGCUCGACUCGACGCGGAGCGCGCGCAUGCCGCUGCCAUCGAGGCUCUCCUGCAGGCGGAACCGGAUGUCGUGGAUGUGAACCGGGCGGCGGAGGCUCAACUUGAGGCAGAGCGCGCGGAUGCCGAUGCCAUCGAGGCCCUCCUACAGGUGGAACCGGACGUCCGGGACUUGAACCGGGCGGCAGAGGCUCGACUCGACGCAGAGCGCGCGGAUGCCGCUCUCAUCGACGCCCUCCUGUAGGCGGAACCGGACGUCCUGGACUUGAACCGGGCGGCGGAGGCUCGACUCGACGCGGAGCGCGCGGAUGCCGCUGCCAUCAAGGCCCUCCUUCAGGCGGAACCGGACGUCCUCGACUUGAACCAGGUUGUGCUCUCGUCCGUGCAGAGCGCCCGCACGCUCCGCUUGAACGAGUAGCUGGAGGCCGAGGACAACCACGGUGCGGAGACACACGUCGGCAGCGACGGCUGGUUCGCGCCGGCAGCCAAAGACGACGAGGUCGUCUCUUUCCGUGAGCAUUGAUAGUUUUUCUUUAUGUUGUUGUUUUUAUGGAUCUUUUGCUGUGUAAAAACAUAUAUUUGUUAUGCAAGUCACCUGACUUGGGUCAGUCUACCAUUUCAGGCGGUUGGAUGAAUAUCCUACGUCUCCUAACCCUUCUUUCCUUCUUCCUCACCUCUUCUUCUUCCCCAACAGACCACCGCACGGGCCGUACGGAUACUCCCCAACAUGCGGUUGGAUAAACAUACUCUAUGAACGAAAAUUAUGUGACAGCGAUAGGAUGGCUGAGUUUGGUUUGUUCACAUGCGACAGCACGUGUCAGUGAGGGUGCGUUCCCUUGGUUGGGUUUGCGGCGUGCAGGAGCGACUGUGUGAGGGUGCGGUGCGCCCGCGGCGUGCAGGAGCGACCGUGUAAGGGUGUGGUGCGACCGCGACAGCCGUCCGCAAGUGUACCUCCUUCUCAUUUUGAAAACAUUAGGCAAGCUUGGCAAAAAUGUGUGGCGAAGUUUGGCAAUGCAAGGCCUAGACCCAAACAGGAUAAGUACGUACAUACUAGGAGUACUAGUGUUAAAAAAGAAAGGCGGGGUUUUCCUUCGCGGGAUUUAAUCGAUACAAAUCCUCGUUUCACGUGUCAAUUAAUGCGUAUUUUUCUCCAAAGACCAAAGAGCUAACCAUCUCACUCCUCAUCGCUUGAUUAAUGCAGCGCCAUGCAAACCAACCUUCUCACUUUCGCAUGCAUGCAGGGGAUAUUAAUGUCCUUGGUUGCUAACCCCAUCAAUUUUGCCUCGAUUAGUGUUAGUGGUCCUUUGCAAAUUGUAAUUUUGAUAUACUGGCCUUGUGUACAAAAAAAUGGAGGUAGUAACUAUAUUUGACUUCCUUCCCCAUUGCGGUGACGUCGGCGAUAUCUUUUUUUUGGUGGUUUGGCGAAGUGCGUUCGACGGAGAACACCAUUGAGGGAGACCACAGUAAGUCGUUCGCAAGUGCCGCCUGCAAGCCGAGACAACUGCCUUAUUUGCAUCCAGGAAGUCCUUUACUAGUACUACCAGGAGUACUAGUGCGGUGAGAUGGUUUCUCGAAGAAGACGAUGGAGAAGCAGAGUCAGCAAAGAGUGAAAUGAUGGUUGCUUCGUCCGUGCUUUUGUGAUUUGACGCCUCACUACUUUGUGAUUUGUGAUAGAAGGGACAGGGGAGUAGACUCUCUGCUCUAUAUUGUACUACAUGCGUCCAAGCAUGGGAGAAAGAGGAGAGACGUUGCAUUUUUCUAUUCCUUCAAUCAAUCAAUCAGGGAGCUUCGGUUCCAUCUUUUUGGCUUUGUCAACACCGUCCACAAUGGUUCCCACGAUGCCAAAAGCUACUUUCACAUAUGGCUACACAUUGUGGAUGCCCUUAACCGUACCACUUUUUUCUCCUGUGUGCUAUCUAUACAAAUCUCAAUUAUAUUGAUCUAAAAAAUUAUAGAAUCAAGAUUAGUAAAAAGGAGGUGAUUUUGCCGCGCGGAUGGCGGGGGAGGUUUCUUAUUUGAGCAAUGCUACAUCCACGUAAUGGUUUACGUAAAGUUACGAACUGAUGUGAUGUGGGACUAUUUGAUUGGAUUAAAGGAGAGGAUUAGGCCCACCCCACCUGAAAAUCAGGGGGGGCAUAUAUAGAUUAGAUGGAAAGUAUACGUAGCAGCUACGUAGCCCUUUGUAAGUCUAGGAUUAGGCUUCUUAUUUUCGGAGGACGUUGUCCUGGCGGUUUGCUAACAUGCGGUCCCACGUGUCAGUGCUUUACCAAGCCGAUCCGCAUCCCACCUGAGGCAGAACAACGGCAGAAGCAACACGUUAAGUUGAAGAAGAUGAGGGAGAAGCGGAUUCAGCAACGAGUGAAAUGAUGUGAUGGUUGCUUUGUCCCUCCAACUUAACUGCGGGAAAGGUGCAGCUUUGUGAUUUGACGCCUCAUUGCUCAUUACUACGCCGGCGCCAUGACUGGGGUGCUUCACCCCGGCUGCUCUGCACUGUAUUCCGGUAUGGCACAUGGACCCGGUAGCUUGGUGUCCCACAUGUCGGCGAAAGGGACUAGAAGCUUUAUGAAAGCGAGCGCUCCACUCUUACGAUGGAGGAGUAGACGACACGACGGCCCGGUGAACUGUCACUUGUAGUACUGUAUAGUACUAUAGUUUUGCUGUUUCGCACGAUCCAUCGAUACAAACCCGAUUAAACAGGAAAGGGCGGGAUUUUUCCCGCGCGGUAGAUGAUACUGGCCAUACAUUUCAAAGGCAAUUUUAAUGUAUACAAACUGAAUAAUUAUAAGUAAUAAUAUGAUAUCUAGUAAAACUAAAAACACAUAUGAUUUAUUGUGUUAGAGUGUAGUAGUAGUGCUGUAUUGCAUAGUUGUUAGAUGUAACAUGCGAGAACGUGUAGAGAUGUAGUUUUGGAGGGCCUACAGAGAGAAAAGCGUAAUACGGUCACCGAACUUCAGAAUAAGCUGAUUACGGUCACUAUAUACGUUUUGCGGUGAUUAUACGGUCACUUGCUCACAGUUCAGCAUUGGAUUGCACUCUGUUGACCGGCCAAAUAGUCUGCGUGGCGCCAUGUUGACUAGUUAAAUUGACCACGUUCCUUGUGGGUCCCACCUGUCAGUUCGCAUAGGCAAAAGGUCAGAUAAACACAAAUUUACGCAGGCGCGACAAGGCUCCAACCCGUGCGCGGGAAUCACCUGGUUGUGUAUGUGUCUGUCAGGGCCUGAUGUGUGCGCAUGCACGUGUAGGUUGAGCACUUGAGCGUGAGAGUGUGUGUUGGUCGUGUGGUGUACUGGUGUGUGCAUGCAUGCGUGCGUGUGUGCGUGUGAUUGUUGCGUGCGUGCGUGUGAGUGUUGCGUGCGUGCGUGGCUGCGUGUGUACGUGUGAGUGUUGCAUGCGUGCGUGGGUGCAUGUGUUUGUGUGAGUGUUGCGUGGAUGCAGUUCGUGUGCAUGUGUGCGUGUGUGUAUAAUCACGACACCAGCUCCUGUGUGUUAAAACAGACGGCUCAACAUACCAAUACAAGGCCACCUUGUCCGCUGUGCCCGCGGUCAUGACUUCGAACCACCGUCCAAAUAUAUUUUUUGUCGUUUGUUUUCAUUCUUACUAGCAAGAUGCCCGUGCGUUGCACGUAAUAUCAAGAUGCAUUUGUAUGACUUGUUUAUCUUAUGAUAGAAAAGGAUGAACGAGGGAAGGCCUUAUUUGCAAAUGUGGAGAGGUGUGUGGGUACCUUUUUGCAAAAUUGCCAUAGUUUCUUUCCUAUCCGCCAGAUAUAAAUCGGACGGCCUAUAUUGCAGGAUGGCAGGCACACCAUCAUCACCAACUCUGUUUUUUAUAAGAGUGUAUUUUAUGUAUUUUAUAAGAGUGUAGAUGUAGAGUAGAUACAAGUCGACAGGUGGGCACGAUGGUAGUGAGAUAAUGUGAUGCAACACUAGAGGUGCCACGUGGAGCGUUUAACUGGUCAACUAGUCAUGUCAUGAGCAAAUACAGAGUUGUACGGUGAGCGCAUGACUGUAUAAUAACCACUAAACGUAAAUGGUGACCGUAAUGAGUGGAUUCUGAAGUCCAAUGUACGUAUCGUGCUUUCACUUCAAAUACAAUGAUUAUCAUUGCAUAUAUCGCGAGAGAAAGAUGAAACAUGCGUGAAUUUUCUGGGGGCUUACUUUUAGAGGACCUGGAGAUAGUUUUGUGUGCAUACGUGAAAGGGGCGUACAGGGGGGUAUGCGAUGGAGAGAGAGAGAUGCUCUUCGUUUCUCUUUAUUAUGACUAACUUUGUAUAUAGUAUAAAAAUAUACAAAUUCACAGUGCGGAACAAAUAUCAUUGUGGGCACCAUGCAAUGCAAAUUAGCGUUCGUACUCCUCCAUAUAACUUUGUAAUGUUGUAUAUAUGUAGAAACUCUAAAAUAAUUUUUUGGCCACACUUUAUUCAAAAGGAAUGUUGUAUGUGAAAUAAACGUGAAGAGAGGUCUUUUUAGAUCAAUGGGGUACGUGAUGUAACAUGUGUGAAUGUGUAGUUGAUGCAUUUGGCGGGGCCUAGAGAGGUAUGUGUGUGUAUUACGUAUUCGAGAGAGGCAUGGAUAGAGGGGCCGACGGGGGGGGCAUGGGAGAGAUAGCACGAGCAAUGAGAGUGGUCUAGAGAGAGAGACGAAUAUGACGUCACGACAAGAGAUUCCAUUCCCUUGAGUGUGUAUAUGCAAGGGAGGAGGGAAGAGAGGCACUAGGAGAAAUUUUCUGUGUGUGUGUGGUGUUUGUGUUGGUAUGUGUGGGUGUGAGAAGAUAAUGAGACGUGGGGGCAGAGGGUGUGUCACCGCGUGAGGUCCGGUGGGUCGAGGUGAGGCCCUUCGUUCGGUUCCGUCCUGCGCCACAUUGGUCGGCCCGUGACGCAUUUAGGAAGACCCAUGGAUGACUAGUCGUACAAGACAAAGAUAGCAGAAUUGUGAAGGACUCUGUGUCCACUGACAAAGCCGGCUAGGAUUUGUAACCCUAGGUUCUCGGACUAAGGUAACCCCUUUAUCUCUGAUAUUACUAUUCAUCCAACCUAACUUUAAGGGGCAUCCUACAGAAUGCUCUGCUAGAAUCGUACUCGUCGAUUAGGAAGAGAGGUGUGAGACAAUGCGUGAGAGAUAGGCGUAAAGAUAAUGUGCGUACAUGAGACACGUAGGCAGGUCCAUGUAUAUAGAAAGGGUCGAUGAGGAUUGUGCGUGUGUAUGUUUGCGAGAGGAAGAGUGCUUGUGAUAAAGGUUAGUGAAAACAGUUGUAAAUGGUUACGAGAGGGAGGGAGGGUUAUAUCUAGAGCAUGUGUGCGAGAAAGACACCUCGGGAGAGAGUGUGUGAGCAUGUGUGAGAGACCACCGAUGGAGAGUGAAACUACACGUAAAAGACUGCUCUACACAUUGAUUAAAGAUAUAAAUUGUAUCCAAAUAUUAGGAUGGGAUCAUGAUAUUUGCAAUUCGCGUAAGGAGCGGUCAUUGAUCCAUCAGACAUCUAGAUUCUAUCGAAUUUGAGCAUGUCUAUGUUAUUAUUCGACACAAUUGAUCCACAUAGUUAGUAUUUUGAACUCCAGACAACGCAUCGCUUUAGCAAUCGAAUAUAAACGUGAGUAUAGUUCAUGUUGUGUGUGUAAAGCACAUUAUACAUACGAAAUUUACACAAUGGACAUUAUAAAUAGCCACCUAUGAACUAGCAUACAUUUGAAUUCAACUUAAGGUGGUUUAAAAAAAUCGAAUUCAACAUGAAGUCCAUUCAAUUAUUUGAAUUUGAUAUCAUGGCAUUUGUAAACCAUACCUAAAUUAUGGGGGCACCAAUCUUUGCUCUGAUUUUGUACAUAAUAGCAUAUGUAGUCGUGUACAAAAUAGAUUCAAAUUUAGCUCCUCCAUUCCAAAAUAAUCGUAGUUAUAGGAUUUUCAAGUGUCAAAAUUUCAAAAAGAAGCGAAUAAUUUAAUGAGGUUUUCAAAUAUACAAGGUCAAAUAUAACGUUGUCUAUUUAGGUCAAUCCUCAUAGUUCAAGAGUACUCUAAACGUGAAUGCUUGUGUUUCAAAAUUUUGAACGAAGCGCCAAAAGAGCCUCUACUCGCCCGAAACCGCGUGAGACCAAUGUUUGGUAGUACAAGGAAAUUACUUUUCUAAUAACUCCGACCCGUGAAACCUACCGGCCCGACGUCCAAAGGUCUAAACCGGGGUAGGUUUGUAGCUUCAUCUAGACGCCACGCAACCGCAUCCGAAAAACAUUCAUACACAAUGGCCGCCUAAGCACACAUGCGCGCGGCCGAAAUCGCUCCCGCCCACUAUUUGGGACACCUGGGAUUACCAUCCUACCCCCGACCCGCAGUAGGUCCGAAAUUUAAGAGGGGGGCAAAGUUUGUACUUUCCCCAAAUUUCAAACAAGCGCGUCCCAUCUUCUGUUCAAAAAAGCCAAAAACAAGCGCGUCCCAGACCGAAACAUGGUUCCCCCCCACCCGUCCGAUUCCCCAUUCGUACUCCGUGGGUGCCAAAACUACCUCUCCACCAGCCGCGAAACCCCGGCGUCCUCCGUCCGCCACCCCAUCCCACCCAUCAACCGCCGCCCUCCUCCAUCACGCCGGAGCCGAUACCCCGACGUCGUCGUCCACCGCAACCUCAACCGCAACGCCCUCCACGGCUAGUAGUUGAAGCCGAGGCCGAGCCGUCCGUACCCGAGCCAGUUCAACCACGCCGUCCUGCGCCUCACCGCUGCCGCUCCAACUUCGCCACCCUCCACCGCACCGGAGCUGUUCCUGCUACGCCGUCCUUCGCCGCCUCGGAUCUGCUUCCCCUCCGCCGACAUACGGCCACGGCAACACAGUCAACAAUUUGGCCAUGGGUUCGUCCAAGCCUGCACCCUCCAGAACAUCGGUUUCCCCAGUAAAAAGAAGAAGAUCGGCACGACAUGUGGAGGUGACCACACCGGCAACCGAGAAAGGUACUCCUCUUCCCUUAUUCGUGCAAAUCUUACGUCUCUGCUUGCACGGUAUUCAUCCCACAGAAGACACUAGUUGACCGCUUCUUCUUGAUACUAGAUGUUCCUAGUAACUCGCGAUGCACAAGGUUUCUCCUCAUAUACUAUUUCACCUUAGCUAGAGGUCCGUCGCCCCCCUGAAUUUCAAUUUCUGGCCAGUUGAUUCCCAAUUAACGGAAGCAUUCCCCGGCGUAACAGGCGCUAGUACGCCUAUUACGCCGGGGAAGCAGCGCCUUGGUGUUUAUCUUAGGGGCGUGUGCGGCCUAGAGCUACUGGCGCCCGAUCUGGAGGUCGGCCGUGAUUAAAGGGAUGGCCUGGGGGCGCUGCCAAGCACGGCGGUGGUGUGAGGUCGAUGGGAGGGCGGGGCGGCGGAGGCAGGGGUCUGGGCCGGUGGUCGCUGGCGGUUCGAGAAAGAUCGUCAACAGUGACUGGCGGGAGGUAGACGAAGGCCAUCUGCCCGUUCCUUAUGGAUCGGACGGUUCAUUAAAAAAAUCAACUGACUUAUUUAUUUUCAGUCGACUGUUAUCUUAGAUAUGACCACAUGUGGUGGUGUGCUGGAGGAGUACCUGCAUUUCCUGUGCUCAUAUAUUACAAAAUCAUACGGAGUAGAAUCUAAUUUUGUUUGCCAUGCAAUGUUGUAGAGCUAUCAUAUGUCUCCUAUCAUUUAUUUUUCAGCCACCUGCUAUCUGCUACUUUUACAGUGCACUAGUUCUGCACACACUUCACCCUUACUCUCACUAUUGUGUUUUUAUGCAAGGGUAUUUCAGACUCUGCUGCCAUGAGAGAAGCCAAAAAGAAAAGAGAGAAGUCACUCCAGCUUCGUAUGCGGGUAGGCAAGACACGUUACAACGCUAUAAAGGGUGCAGUGUCAGCAGAUGGAGAUGGUAAACGUAGCUCUGGAGUUGAUGACCUCGCUCGCAAUGAACCACCAUCCCAGGUGCUUGCUUUAACUUCGCGGUGUCAUAUGUGGUUGCAUGUUCCAUAUGGUGUCUAGCUUGUAUUCGAAAGGCCGAAGUCGGUAAGAUAAGGAAAGAUAGUUUUUUACAUGAACCACCAUCCCGUGAGCACCAGAAGACAAAUAGGUAGCCAGGGCACUGGCCGAGCCAGUGACAAGCCCAGCAAAGAUAGGCAUCACCUGGAAGCCAACUAAAAAGCUGCGAUGGUGGCGAAGCAGCCCGCCUCCCACCAGGCUCUCAGGUCCUAGAUGAUCAUGCUCACCACUCCAGCCGGAUGUCUAGCUUGUAUUGCUUCCAAUUUGGUUAAAUUGCAUCUGCUUAGCUUACACAUUAUACCUUUGAAUAUGACAUACCUUUCUGUUUUUGGUACAUACUAGUACAUCUGUGUAUUAACCAUGUUCUUACAUCAAACUAAUGUUCUUGUGUAUCCCUCAUCAAUCACUUAUGACGAGGUAGGCAGGCAAGGGGACUACUCCUCAUUUAAAGAAUGCAGCGUCAGCCUCCCGACAUGAUUCUCAAGAAACAGAAAUGCUAGAUGAAGAUAGUGAACGUAGCUCUGUAGUUGAUUACAGCAUUUCCCCUACACUAGCAUCGCAGGUGCUUGCUCUAACUUGGCAGCGUGAUAUGUGGUUGCAUGUUGCAUAUGGUGUCUAGAUUGUAAUUAUUCCAAUCUGGUUAAACUGCAUGUGCUAGUCUGCUUAGCUUAUACAUUAUACCUGUUAAUGUGACAUGCCUUCCUGUAUUUAGUACAUAGUACAUCUGUCUAUUAAGCAUGUCCUUACAUAAAACUAUUGUUUUUUUUGUAUCCCGCAUCAAUCAACAUGAUGAGACACCUUUAGUAUAUGCAGUGUGAUAUUAGUUGCAUCUUUCAUAUGAUUUAUAGCAUGCGCUGCUUCUAAUUUGUUGAAAUUCCAUUUAUGAUGGGACGCUUUUAACUUGGCAGAGUCAUAUUGGUUGCAUCUUUCAUGUGGUGUCUAUCUUGCAUUGCUUCUUAUUUGCUAGAAUGGUUUCUGCUUAGUUUACACAAACAGUUGUGAACAUGCCAUGCCGUCCUAUUUUUCGUACAUAUUCCAUCCUGGUAUCAUGUGUUUGCCUUACAUCAAAGUAGUGAUUGUCAGUAUCAUGCAUGAAUGAGUUCUGAAGAGAGAAUUUUAUUGCUUUUUCUUGUCGGUUUUACUUGACAGUUCAAAAUCAAUAAAGCGGAAGGAAGUUAGUAAGGCAGCGGAUAAAGGUGCUCCUUCCGAAUGGAGGGCCUCUACAGUUUCUACUCCUCCACACCCCCAAGAUGAUUUCCAAGACAACACAUGCAUAGACACUCAACAAAGCUGUGUUUAUGAUGAGCACGUCUCCCCUAGUGCAGCAUCACCAGUGCUCCCUCUAACUUGGCACUGUUAUAUGUGGUUGCAUGUUAUGUGUGAUGUCUAGCUUGUAUUGCUUCUAAUUUUGUUGAAUUCCAUCUGCUUACUUUACACAUUAUACUUGAAUAAGACACGUGUUCCUGUUUCUAGAACAUACAAUAUCUGUCUAUCACACCAUGUUCUUACAUCAAAUUACUACUGUUGUGUAACCUGCAACAAUCACUUAUCAUAAGACACGUUUGACUUCGGAGUGUGAUAUAGGUUACAUCUCACAUUCUUUUCUAGCUUGUACUACUAAUUUGUUGAAAUGGCACUUAUGACGAGACAGUUUUAACUUGGUAGAGUGAUAUUCGUUGCAUCUUUCAUAUGGUGUCUAGCUUUCAUUGCUUCUAAUUUGUUGAAAUGCCUUCUCCUUAGUUUACACAUCAUAAGCUGUGAAUAUGCAAUGGCACUAAUGACGAGAGACCUCUAACAUGGUAGUGUGAUGUUGUUUGCAUCUUGCAUAUGAUUUAUUUCUUGUACUGCUUCACAUUAGUUUAAACGCCAUUUAUGAUGAGACACUGUUAACUUGGCAGAGCGAUAUUUGUAGCAUCUUUCAUAUGGUGUCUACCUUCCAUUGCAUUGCUUCUAAUUUGGUGAAAUCUCUUCUUCUUAGUUUACACAUCAUAGUUCUGGUUAUCUCUUCCAUCCUGUUUUUCAUACAUAUUACAUCCUCCUAUCAUGUGGUUGUCUAACAUCAAAGUUCAGUUCGUCUGCAUCACACAUCAAUUUGUUCUGAAGAACUAAAUUGUUAUUCGUUUUUCUUGUCGGCUUGACUUAACAUGGCACAGAGAAAGAGGAAGAAACAUAGAAUGGCAGGGAAUGAGAAGCGGAUGAAUCCUGCAGAUUCUGCUGGUACUGAUGGUGCAAUAGAAGUUCAAAGUCCAGCGGAAAAUUCUACAAACACGACAUCCCAUGCUACACGAGUUGCAAAAAAAGCCAAACAGAAACAAAUAGCUGCCACCAAACAAGCAGAGACAACCCUAGUUCUUGCAACACCUACGAUAGUACUAGCAGCUGCAUGACUUACUCGUGCGUCAACUGAGCUAGCAGCACGUUCCCAAGCUCCCUUGCCACCUGACACUACUUCCCAAGCACUCUUGACACAAGACGAGUUGGCAAUAUCAGAUGAACCUUGUGAGCUUCAACAGCAAGAAGGUAGUUGCUGGAGUCAAGUUACAGUUGCAUGCUUCUUUAUAUGUAGUCUCACAGUUUGAUGUACACUAACACUUCCUAUGUUCAUUGUUGGACUAGCACCUAGGCGCACGAGGAAACAAACAUCAGGGAUAAUGCUCGAUAGGUUAACUAAAUCUAGAGGAGGAAGAAUGGAGAUCCGUUUUGAGGCAGGUUUAAAAAGGCCACGUGAUGCUACAGAGUCAGCCAAGUUAGUAUCAGAGGCAGCGGUUGCCGUUAGGUGUCAUGUACGUAUCCUCCCAACAUGGAUUCAGUACAGUAAUGACAAAGACGAAACCCAGUUCAACACCUUCCUCGACCAUUUAUCUGUAAGUAUGGUUAUGUAUGGAAACUAGUAAUAUCGUCUUGCUCUGUCCCAUACUUUCUAGGUUGCUGAUAAUGAGACUCCCAUAAUUUUCAACAGAUGAGGUUCAAGUUGGAUAGCCAAGAUGAUGCAACUAGACAAGCUUGCACCCAUGUUUUCAAGUCUGCUCUGCGACAGUAUCGGUAUAACUUGAGGAAAACUCACUUUGAAGGCAAGGCUAACAGUGAACUUUCCCAAACAUCUCCAGUGGAAAAUAUAUCGGAUGAAGACUGGAGGGGCCUUGUUAAACACUGGUCUAAUCCGAAGUAUCAGGUACAUUAUAUAUAUAUGUGAUCAGAUCACAUGUUGAAGUCCUAUUUACGCAUGUGCCACACAAAUCUAUCUUCUUGCAGGUGAACUGUUCAAAGAACAAGGCCAACCGUACGAAAGUGAAAUUCCAACAGACGACAGGAUCUCGUAGCUAUAUUGCACACCGCGAGGCUCUUGUAAUUAGCUGUUGUUCCACUCUUUUCGUUGUACCAUAUUAUCAUAUCUAUAUUGACUUGUUCGAAAUGCAGAGGAAAGCCCACAAGGACCAAAAAGUACCUGAACCAAAUGCUGUGGAAAUCUUCAAGGACUGUCACACCAGCAAGAAGAAGGGCAUGACUACACCAGUCAAAGCCGCCGUUGUAAGUCCUUAAUCCUCAUGCCUUUUAACUACUACUUACACUGACUUGUGCCUUGAACUGCAUGGUUUGCAGCCAAUGUCUAUUACUCUUUUCAAUUUUAUACACAAUUGUCUUAGCGUAUCAUUGCACUUUACACGGUUUAAAAGAGAGGAGUGAUGUUCCUUUGAUCUUGACCCGUAAUCUAGUUCCGUGCUGGACUUGCCCACACAACAUUACAAUUGCCUGUUUGUCAGUUCUCAGUUGUUUUGUGAUAUGAAUGAUGUCAUACUAUGCUUACCAUAUUAUAAACUUCGUCUCUUUAUCCUUAGCCCUCAAUACAAUGUGAAGAAAUAGACAAUACAUUAGCGAUGGUACAUGGUCAUAUGUUUGGAACCUGGUUUUAUUAUGUACUUUGCAAUAAAAUACAACUAAUAUUUUACAUGGGUUCACCAGAAUAAGUUCUGUAUAUAGACCAAAGCUAUUUUGUUUGGUUUUGCUACCUCCUUAAUAUCUUCUGUUCUGGUACUACUAAUGUAAAACCUCAACUUUUCAGCGAGCUAUGGAAAAAAUGGUGGAACCGCCACCUUCUGAAGGUGGCGAGGCAACUAUAACCGCAAUGUCAGCUCUUGCUGCAGUGAGUCAGUACCUGUCCACUAACAGUGCCAAAAGCACGUUCCUGCGUAAUAUUGGGUUGGUUGUUAAGGCAAUAUCGUCCAAACUGCCUCAUGAUCAAGAUAUGCAAGCUCAAAGCAAUGUUGUAUCUGCGCUCCAGACACAAGUCCAUUCCCUAACAGAGACCCUUUGUGAAACAAGGAGAAACAUUGCUCAAUGUCGUCAAGAUAUGCAUGGUUUUGAAACCAGACUAUCAGACAUUUGCUAUGUUGUCCAGGAGCCUAGGGGAAAUGAAGGCGAGGGUUAUGGUGCUCCAUCGGACAAUACAGCAUGAAAACAUAACAGUCAGGUCAAAUAAACUGAGCUUCUGAACUUCUGGUGGUGCAUUUAUCUGCUAGACUGUUAAGUUUUAUGCCAACCUUCCUUUUUUUAUAUAGUUGUAACUUGUUUUGGUGCGAUACAAAAUUUAUUCUUAACGUGCAGCCACCGGCUGAAGAAAACAGUAAGCCAUUUUUGUAUAGUGUAGGGUGUUCCCUAUAUUUGCACUGGUGGCGAUCUUUGAUGCCGAGUGGAUGUAAUCUGUGCAAUCGCCUUAAUAGCCUAGCGUUAGUUUCGGCCUUAUUUAUUUCCUAGUCUUCUUUUUCCCUGGUUUGCUAGUGGCCGCAACUACCAUGGGCCAUAUACGGGCCGUAGGAUCCAUGGGUCUCCUACGGGCCGUCGAUAAAUGGGCCUGUAAUCAGUGGGCCUCGGGCCGUCAGAUAAAUGGGUCUAUAUGGGCCGUAAUCGGGCGUAAUUGGUAUCGGCCCAGCACGGUAACAGGCCGUAGGACAGCAAAGGCUUAAUUCUGUCACAAGCAUAACGGGUCGUUAAUGGGCGAGAAUAUAGGACGGGCUGGAAACGGCGCAACGGGUUAACAGGCCAGAAACGGGCUGACUCUUGCCAUGCGCCGAAUUUGGCCCAUUAGGGUAACAGGCCAGUAACGGGCCGACUCUUGCCAUGGGCCGAAUUUGGCCCAUUAGGGGAACAGGCCAGUAACGGGCCGACUCUUGCCAUGGGCCGAAUUUGGCCCAUUAGGGGAACAGGCCAGUAACGGGCCGGAAGUAAUCGAGGGCCGAAAAGGAGCCCAAGAACGUAUGGGCCGUCAAUAGGCUGAAAGCUAACAUGGGCUGGAAACGGCCCAUGUAAAUCACGGGCCGUUAACGGGUAUAAAGAAGAUUACUGUUCAUUAUGGGCUAGAGUCACCGUGGGCCUGUAAAGGGCCGAAAGAUACGAAGGCCUCAUAUGGGCCGAAAGACGUCGUGGGCCAUACAUGGGCCGAAAGUGAAAUGGGCUGGUGUUAUAUUCGACGGCCCACAUGACGUUGUUGGGCCGAUUUCCUUUAGGGCCUAACGGGCCGUGAGUUAACGGGCCGUAAAAUGGGCUAUUUGCGAAGAGACCGUUAACAGGCUUUUCAUGGGCCAGCCCGUUAACUUUUGACCAAGUCAAACGGGCCGGCUUUGUAAGCUAAAUGGGCCAGUGGUGGGCCGUGGCACGUGUCGACAUAUCAUAGGCGCCUAUCUGACCCACUGACGAGCUGACACGUGUUUCGUCCGGCCAAUAAGAAUUCAACACGUGGAAAUUUCCCAUUGGUCGGGGCUGUUAACGGGUUAUCGGAUCCAAAACCCGACCCGAUAGCUUAACGGCGUUCCGUUACGGUGGAUGCCACGUGUCGGCACCCUUGAUGAAAGCACUUCUGUGACGCGCGAUUUAUCGUCAUGGAAGUGGACACUUCCGUGAUGAUAAUUUUGGUAAUGUCAUGGAACACUUCUACGACAGCACAGGUAUGACUAUCUUGAUUAUGUCAUAAAAUCGUCAUGGAUGUACAUGCAUGACAAAAAACGCGACCUACUGUGACAAACACGUAUCAGCACGGAAGUGUUUUUUUUGUAGUGUAUGGCUGAGGCUAGGGGGCAACUUUCAUCCUUUCUCUUUCUUCUGGCGUGGUCGGGCUUUGAGUCUUACUCAACUUCACACCUUGCAACAUAGACAAGAACCCCUUCUUUGACUAGUUCAUUUUGAACUUCUUCAAAACUUUGUCAAGGUCUAUGCUUUGUGGAAGUCCUAUCAGGCCUCUUGAUCUAUCUCUAGAGAACUUGAUGCCCAAUAUGUAAGCAACUUCACCGAGGUCUUUCUUAGAAAACUAUUGUUUAAACAACUCUUUAUGUUUUCCAGAAAUUCUAUAUCAUUUCCAAUCAAUAAUAUGUCAUGCACAAGCAAUAUUAGAAAUACUACAGAGCUCCCAUUACUUUCUUGUAAACACAAACUUUUCCAUAGGCUUGGAUUAUCAAAGGCUUUGAUCAGCUCAUCAAAGUGAAUAUUCCAACUCCGAGAUGCUUGCACUAGUCCAUAAAUGGAUCGCCAGAGCUUGCAUACCUUAUUAGCAUCCUUAGGAUCAACAAAACCUUCCGGUUGCAUCAUAUACAACUCUUCCAUAAGGAAACCAUUAAGGAACGUAGUUUUGAUGUCCUUCUACCAGAUUUCAUAAUCAAAAAAUGCAGCAAUUGCUAACAUAAUCCUAACAGACUUCAGCAUCGCUAUAGGUGAGAAAGUUUCCUCGUAGUCAACCCCUUGAAUUUUGUCUUAAAACCCCUUGCAACAAGUCGAGCUUUAUAGACGGUGACAUUACCAUUAGCGCCCAUCUUCUUCUAAAAGAUCCAUUUGUGCUUAAUGGCCUUUCGAUCAUCGGGUAAGUCCACCAAAGUCCAUACUUGGUUUUCAUACAUAGAUACUAUCUCGGAUUUCAGGGCCUCUAGCCAUUUGACUGAAUCUGGGCUCAUCAUUGCUUCUUCAUAAUUCAUAGGUUCACCGUUGUCCAACAACAUGACUUUCAGGACAGGAUAAUCAUAUCAUUCAGGGGCGGUGUUGGGGAACGCAGUAAUUUCAAAAAAAAUCCUACGCACACGCAAGAUCAUGGUGAUGCAUGGCAACGAGAGGGGAGAGUGUAGUCCACGUACCCUCAUAGACCGUAACCGGAAGCGUUAUGACAACGCGAUUGAUGUAGCCGUACGUCUUCACGAUCCGACCGAUCCUAGUACCGAAAGUGCGGCACCUCCGCGAUCUGCACAUGUUCUGCUCGGUAACAUCCCACGAACUCUUGAUCCAGCUGAGUGUCGAGGGAGAGCUUCAUCAGCACAACGGUGUGAUGAUGAAGCUACUGGCGUAGGGCUUCGCCUAGCACUGCAACGAUAUGACCGAGGUGGAUUACGGUGGAGGGGGGCACCACACACGGCUAAAACAAUGUCUGUUGUUGUGUUCUAGGGUGCCCCCCUGCCCCCAUAUAUAAAGGAUCAAGGGGGAGGCCGGCCGGCCCUUGGGGCGCGCCAAGGAGGGGGAGGAGUCCUCCUCCUAGUAGGAGUAGGACUCCUCCUUUCCUAGUCCAACUAGGAGGAGGAAGGGGGGAGGAAGGAGAGGGAGAGAGGGAGGGAAAGAGGGGGCGCCGCCCCCCUCCUUGUCUAAUUCGGACUCCUCAAGGGGGGCGCGCGGCCAGCCCUAUGGCCCCCUCCUCUCUCUCUCACAAGGCCCAUGUUGGCCCAUUAGUUCCCCCGGGGGUUCCGAUAACCCCCCGACACUCCGAUAAUUAUCCGAUGACCCCCGGAACUCAUCCGGUGUCCGAAUAUAGUCAUCCAAUAUAUCAAUCUUUAUGUCUCGACCAUUUCGAGACUCCUCGUCAUGUCCGUGAUCACAUCCGGGACUCCAAACUACCUUCGGUACAUCAAAACACAUAAACUCAUAAUACCGAUCGUCACCGAACGUUAAGCGUGCGGACCCUACGGGUUCGAGGACUAUGUAGACAUGACCGAGACACGUCUCCGGUCAAUAACCAAUAGCGGAACCUGGAUGUUCAUAUUGGCUCCCACAUAUUCUACGAAGAUCUUUAUCGGUCAAACUGCAUAACGAUAUACGUUGUUCCCUUUGUCAUUGGUAUGUUACUUGCCCGAGAUUCGAUCGUCGGUAUCUCAAUACCUAGUUCAAUCUCGUUACCGGCAAGUCCCUUUACUCGUUCCGUAAUGCAUCAUCCCGCAACUAACUCAUUAGUCACAUUCCUUCCAAGGCUUAUAGUGAUGUGCAUUACCGAGAGGGCCCAGAGAUACCUCUCAAAAUCGGAGUGACAAAUCCUAAUCUCGAUCUAUGCCAACUCAACAAAUACCAUCGGAGACACCUGUAGAGCACCUUUAUAAUCACCCAGUUAUGUGGUGACGUUUGGUAUCACACUAAGUGUUCCUCCGGUAUUCGGGAGUUGCAUAAUCUCAUAGUCAUAGGAACAUGUAUAAGUCAUGAAGAAAGCAAUAGCAAUAUACUAAACGAUCAAGUGCUGAGCUAAUGGAAUGGGUCAAGUCAAUCACAGCAUUCUCUAAUGAUGUGAUCCCAUUAAUCAAAUGACAACUCAUGUCUAUGGCUAGGAAACUUAACCAUCUUUGAUUCAACGAGCUAGUCAAGUAGAGGCAUACUAGUGACACUCUGUUUGUCUAUGUAUUCACACAUGUACUAAGUUUCCGGUUAAUACAAUUCUAGCAUGAAUAAUGAACAUUUAUCAUGAUAUAAGGAAAUAUAAAUAACAACUUUAUUAUUGCCUCUAGGGCAUAUUUCCUUCAGUCUCCCACUUGCACUAGAGUCAAUAAUCUAGUUCACAUCGCCAUGUGAUUUAACACCAAUAGUUCACAUCACCAUGUGAUUAACACCCAUAGUUCACAUCGCCAUGUGACCAACACUCAAAGGGUUUACUAGAGUCAGUAAUCUUAGUUCACAUCGCCAUGUGAUUAACACCAAAAGAGUACUAAGGUGUGAUCAUGUUUUGCUUGUGAGAGAAGUUUAGUCAAUGGGUCUUCCAUAUUCAGAUCCGUAUGUAUUUUGCAAAUUUCUAUGUCAACAAUGCUCUGCACGGAGCUACUCUAGCUAAUUGCUCCCACUUUCAAUAUGUAUCCAGAUUGAGACUUAGAGUCAUCUGGAUUAGUGUAAAAACUUGCAUCGACGUAACCCUUUACGACGAACCUUUUGCCACCUCCAUAAUCGAGAAACAUAUCCUUUAUUCCACUAAGGAUAAUUUUGACCGAUGUCGAGUGAUCUACUCCUAGAUCACUAUUGUACUCCCUUGCCAAACUCAGUGUAGGGUAUACAAUAGAUCUGGUACACAGCAUGCCAUAUUUUAUAGAACCUAUGGCUGAGGCAUAGGGAAUGACUUUCAUUCUCUUUCUAUCUUCUGCCGUGGUCGGGCUUUGAGUCUUACUCAAUUUCACACCUUGCAAUACAGGCAAGAACUACUUCUUUGACUGUUUCAUUUUGAACUACUUCAAAAAUUUGUCAAGGUAUGUACUCAUUGAAAAAAAAAAUUCAAGCAUCUUGAUCUGUCUCUAUAGAUCUUGAUGCCCAAUAUGUAAGCAGCUUUUCCGAGGUCUUUCUUUGAAAGACUCCUUUCAAAUACUCCUUUAUGCUUUCCAGAAAAUUCUACAUUAUUUCUGAUCAACAAUAUGUCAUUCACAUAUACUUAUCAAAAGGUUGUAGUGCUCCCACUCACUUUCUUGUAAAUACAGGCUUCACCGCAAGUCUGUAUAAAACUAUAUGCUUUGAUCAACUCAUCAAAGCGUAUAUUCCAACUCCGAGAUGCUUGCACCCGUCCAUAGAUGGAUCGCUGGAGCUUGCACAUUUUGUUAGCACCUUUAGGAUUGACAAAACCUUCUGGUUGCAUCAUAUACAACUCUUCUUUAAGAAAUCCAUUUAAGGAAUGUAGUUUUGACAUCCAUUUGCCAGAUUUCAUAAAAUGUGGCAAUUUGCUAACAUGAUUCGGACAGACUUAAGCAUCGCUACGAGUGAGAAAAUCUCAUCGUAGUCAACACCUUGAACUUUGUCAAAAACCUUUUUUGACAAGUCUAGCUUUGUAGAUAGUAACACUACUAUCAGCGUCCGUCUUCCUCUUGAAGAUCCAUUUAUUUUCUAUGGCUGGUCGAUCAUCGGGCAAGUCAACCAAAGUCCACAUUUUGUUCUCAUACAUGGAUCCCAUCUCAGAUUUCAUGGCCUCAAGCCAUUUUGCGGAAUCUGAGCUCAUCAUCGCUUCCUCAUAGUUCGUAGGUUCGUCAUGGUCAAGUAACAUGAACUCCAGAAUAGGAUUACCGUACCACUCUGGUGCGGAACGUACUCUGGUUGACCUACGAGGUUCGGUAGUAACUUGAUCCGAAGCUUCAUGAUCAUCAUCAUUAACUUCCUCACUAAUUGGUGUAAGCAUCACUUGAACUGAUUUCCGUGAAGAAAUACUUUCCAAUUUGGGAGAAGGUACAAUUACCUCAUCAAGUUCUACCUUCCUCCCACUCACUUCUUUCGAGAGAAACUCCUUCUCCGGAAAGGAUCCAUUCUUAGCAACAAAGAUCUUGCCUUCGGAUCUGUGAUAGAAGGUGUACCCAACAGUCUCUUUUGGGUAUCCUAUGAAGACGCAUUUCUCCGAUUUGGGUUCGAGCUUAUCAGGUUGAAACUAUUUCACAUAAGCAUCGCAGCCCCAAACUUUAAGAAAUGACAACUUGAGUUUCUUGCCAAACCACAGUUCAUAAGGUGUCGUCUCAACGGAUUUAGAUGGUGCCCUAUUUAACGUGAAUGCAGCCGUCUCUAAAGGAUAACCCCAAAACGAUAGCGGUAAAUCAGUAAGAGACAUCAUAGAUCGCACCAUAUCUAGUAAAGUACGAUUACGACGUUCAGACACACCAUUACGCUGUGGUGCUCCGGGUGGCGUGAGUUGCGAAACUAUUCCGCAUUGUUUCAAAUGAAGACCAAACUCGUAACUCAAAUAUUCUCCUCCACGAUUAGAUCGUAGAAACUUUAUUUUCUUGUUACGAUGAUUUUCCACUUCACUCUGAAAUUCUUUGAACUUUUUAAAUGUUUCAGACUUAUGUUUCAUUAAGUAGAUAUACCCAUAUCUGCUUAAAUCAUCUGUGAAGGUGAGAAAAUAACGAUACCCGCCGCGAUCCUCAAUAUUCAUUGGACCACAUACAUCAGUAUGUAUGAUUUCCAACAAAUCUGUUGCUCGCUCCAUUGUUCCGGAGAACGGCGUUUUAGUCAUCUUGCCCAUGAGGUUCGCAAGUACCAAGUGAUUCAUAAUCAAGUGAUUCCAAAAGUCCAUCAGAAUGGAGUUUCUUCAUGUGCUUUACACCAAUAUGACCCAAACGGCAGUGCCACAAAUAAGUUGCACUAUCAUUAUCAACUCUACAUCUUUUGGCUUUAAUAUUAUGAAUAUGUGUGUCACUAUUAUCGAGAUUCAACAAAAAUAGACCACUCUUCAAGGGUGCAUGACCAUAAAAGAUAUUACUCAUAUAAAUAGAACAACCAUUAUUCUCUGAUUUUUAAAUGAAUAACCGUCUCGCAUCAAACAAGAUCCAGAUAUAAUGUUCAUGCUUAACGUUGGCACCAAAUAACAAUUAUUCAGGUCUAAAACUAAUCCUGAAGGUAGAUGUAGAGGCAGCGUGCCGACCGCGAUCACAUCGACUUUGGAACCAUUUCCCACGCGCAUCGUCACCUCGUCCUUAGCCAAUCUUCGCUUAAUCCGUAGUCCCUGUUUCGAGUUGCAAAUAUUAGCAACAGAACCAGUAUCAAAUACCCAGGUGCUACUGCGAGCAUUAGUAAGGUACAAAUCAAUAACAUGUAUAUCACAUAUACCUUUGUUCACCUUGCCAUCCUUCUUAUCUGCCAAAUACUUGGGGCAGUUCCGCUUCCAGUGAUCAGUCCCUUUGCAGUAGAAGCACUCAGUCUUAGGCUUAGGUCCAUACUUGGGCUUCUUCACUUGAGCAGCAACUUGCUUGUCGUUCUUCUUGAAGUUCCCCUUCUUCCCUUUACCCUUUUUCUUGAAACUGGUGGUCUUGUUGACCAUCAACACUUGAUGCUCUUUCUUGAUUUCUACCUCGGCGGCCUUUAGCAUUGCGAAGAGCUCGGGAAUUGUCUUAUCCAUCCCUUGCAUAUUAUAGUUAAUCACGAAGCUCUUGUAGCUUGGUGGCAGUGAUUGAAGAAUUCUGUCAAUGACACUAUCAUCAGGAAGAUUAACUCCCAGUUGAAUCAACUGAUUGUUAUACCCAGACAUUUUGAGUAUAUGCUCACUGACAGAACUAUUCUCCUCCAUUUUGCAGCUGUAGAACUUAUUGGAGACUUCAUAUCUCUCAAUCCGGGCAUUUGCUUGAAAUAUUAACUUCAACUCCUGGAACAUCUCAUAUGCUCCAUGACGUUCAAAACGCCGUUGAAGUCCCGGUUCUAAGCCGUAAAGCAUGGCACACUGAACUAUCGAGUAGUCAUCAGCUUUGCUCUGCCAGAUGUUCAUAACAUCUGGCGUUGCUCCUGCAGCGGGUUUGGCACCUAGCGGUGCUUCUAGGACGUAAUUCUUCUGUGCAGCAAUGAGGAUAAUCCUCAAGUUACAGACCCAGUCCGUGUAGUUGCUACCAUCAUCUUUCAACUUAGCUUUCUCUAGGAACGCAUUAAAAUUCAACGGAACAACAGCACGGGCCAUCUAUCUACAACAACAUAGACACGCAAAAUACAAUCAGGUACUAAGUUAAUAAUAAAUUAAAGUUCAAUUAAUCAAAAUUACUUAAGAACUCCCACUUAGAUAGACAUCCAUCUAAUCAUCUAAGUGAUCACGUGAUCCAUAUCAACUAAACCAUGUCCGAUCAUCACGUGAGAUGGAGUAGUUUUCGAUGGUGAACAUCACUAUGUUGAUCAUAUAUACUAUAUGAUUCACGCUCCACCUUUCAGUCUCAGUGUUUCGAGGCCAUAUCUGCAUAUGCUAGGCUAGUCAAGUUUAACCCGAGUAUUCUGUGUGUGCAAAACUGGCUUGCACCCGUUGUAUGUGAACGUAGAGCUUAUCACACCCGAUCAUCACGUGGUGCCUCGGCACGACGAACUUUCGCAACGGUGCAUACUCAGGGAGAACACUUGUACCUUGAAAUUUAGUGAGAGAUCAUCUUAUAAUGCUACCGUCGAACUAAGCAAAAUAAGAUGCAUAAAGGAUAAACAUCACAUGCAAUCAAUAUAAGUGAUAUGAUAUGGCCAUCAUCAUCUUGUGCCUUUGAUCUCCAUCUCCAAAGCACCGUCAUGAUCACCAUCGUCACUAGCGCGACACCUUGAUCUCCAUCGUAGCAUCGUUGUCGUCUCACCAACUAUUGCUUCUACGACUAUCGAUACCGCUUAGUGAUAAAGUAAAGCAAUUACAAGGCGAUUGCAUUUCAUACAAUAAAGCGACAACCAUAUGGCUCCUGCCAGUUGCCGAUAACUGUGUUACAAAACAUGAUCAUCUCAUACAAUAAAAUUUAGCAUCAUGUCUUGACCAUAUCACAUCACAACAUGCCCUGCAAAAACAAGUUAGACGUCCUCUACUUUGUUGUUGCAAGUUUUACGUGGCUGCUACGGGCUGAGCAAGAACCAUUCUUACCUACGCAUCAAAACCACAACGAUUUUUCGUCAAGUAUGUGAUGUUUUAACCUUCAACAAGGACCGGGCGUAGCCACACACGAUUCAACUAAAGUUGGAGAAACUGACACCCGCCAGCCACCUGUGUUGGAAGCACGUCGGUAGAACCACUCUCGCGUAAGCAUACACGUAAUGUCGGUCUGGACCGCUUCAUCCAACAAUACCGUCGAAUCAAAGUAUGACAUGCUGGUAAGCAGUAUGACUAUUAUCGCCCGCAACUCACUUGUGUUCUACUCGUGCAUAUAACAUCUACGCAUAAACCUGGCUCUGAUACCACUGUUGGGGAACGCAGUAAUUUCAAAAAAAUUCCUACGCACACGCAAGAUCAUGGUGAUGCAUAGCAACGAGAGGGGAGAGUGUAGUCCACGUACCCUCGUAGACCGUAAGCGGAAGCGUUAUGACAACUCGGUUGAUGUAGUCGUACGUCUUCACGAUCCGACCGAUCCUAGUACCGAAAGUACGGCACCUCCGUGAUCUGCACAUGUUCUGCUCGGUGACGUCCCACGAACUCUUGAUCCAGCUGAGUGUCGAGGGAGAGCUUCGUCAGCACGACGGCAUGACGAUGGUGAUGAUGAAGCUACCGGCGCAGGGCUUCGCCUAAGCACUGCCACGAUAUGACCGAGGUGGAUUAUGGUGGAGGGGGGCACCGCUCAUGGCUAAGACAAUGUCUGUUGUUGUGUUCUAGGGUGCCCCCCUGCCCCCGUAUGUAAAGGAGCAAGGGGAGGCCGGCCGGCCCUUGGGGCCCACCAAGGAGGGGGAGGAGUCCUCCUCCUAGUAGGAGUAGGACUCCCCCUUUCCUAGUCCAACUAGGAGGAGGAAGGGGGAAGGAAGGAGAGGGAGAGAGGAAGGGAAAGAGGGGGCGCCGCCCCCCUCCAUGUCCAAUUCGGACUCCUCAAGGGGGGAGGGGGGCGGCCAGCCCUAUGGCCUCCUCCUCUCUCUCUCUCACAAGGCCCGUGUUGGCCCAUUAGUUCCCCCGGCAGUUUCGAUAACCCCCCGGCACUCCGAUAAUUAUCCGGUGACCCCCGGAACUCAUCCGAUGUCCGAAUAUAGUCAUCCAAUAUAUCAAUCUUUAUGUCUCGAGCAUUUUGAGACUCCGAACUACCUUCGGUACAUCAAAACACGUAAACUCAUAAUACCGAUCGUCACCGAAUGUUAAGCGUGCGGACCCUACGGGUUCGAGGACUGAUACGUCUCCAACGUAUCUAUAAUUUUUAUUGUUCCAUGCUAUUAUAUAUUCUGUUUUGGAUGUUUAAUGGGCUUUAUUAUACACUUUUAUAUUAUUUUUGGGAGUAACCUACUAACCCAAGGCCCAGUGCAAAUUGAUGUUUUUUUUGCCUAGUUCAGUGUUUCGCAGAAAAGGAAUAUCAAACGGAAUCCAAACGGAAUGAAACCUUCGGGAACGUGAUUUUUGGAACAAACGUGAUCCAGAGGACUUGGAGUGGACGUCAAGAAACAACCGAGGAGGCCACGAGGCAGGGAGGCGCGCCCCCACCCUCGUGGGCCCCUCGUGGCUCUCCUGACCGACUUUCUUCGCCUAUAUAUACUCAUAUACACUGAAAACAUCCAGGAGCACCACGAAACCCUAUUUCCAUCGCUGCAACCUUCUGUACCCGUGAGAUCCCAUCUUGGGGACUCUUCCGGCGCUCCGCCAGAGGGGGCAUCGAUCACGGAGGGCUUCUACAUCAACACCAUAGCCUCUCCGAUGAUGUGUGAGUAGUUUAACUCAGACCUUCGGGUCCAUAGUUAUUAACUAGAUGGCUUCUUCUCUCUCUUUGGAUCUCAAUACAAAGUUCUCCUCGAUCUUCCUGUAGAUCUAUUCGAUGUAACUCUUUUUGCGGUGUGUUUGUCAAGAUCCGAUGAAUUGUGGGUUUAUGAUCAAGAUUAUCUAUGAACAAUAUUUAAAUCUCCUCUGAAUUCUUUUAUGUAUGAUUGGUUAUCUUUGCAAGUCUCUUCGAAUUAUCAGUUUGGUUUAGCCUACUAGAUUGAUCUUUCUUGCAAUGGGAGAAGUGCUUAGCUUUGGGUUCAAUCUUGUGUUGCUGGAUCCUAGUGACAGAAGGGGGAACGACACGUAUUGUAUUGUUGCCAUCGAGGAUAAAAAGAUGGGGUUUAUAUCAUAUUGCUUGAGUUUAUCCCUCUACAUCAUGUCAUCUUGCCUAAUAUGUUACUCUGUUCUUAUGAACUUAAUACUCUAGAUGCAUGCUGGAUAGCGGUCGAUGUGUGGAGUAAUAGUAGUAGAUGCAGGCAGGAGUCGGCCUACUUGUUGCGGACGUGAUGCCUAUAUACAUGAUCAUGCCUAGAUAUUCUCAUAAUUAUGCACUUUUCUAUCAAUUGCUCGAGAGUAAUUCGUUUACCCACCGUAAUACUUAUGCUAUCUUGAGAGAAGCCACUAGUGAAACCUAUGGCCCCCGGGUCUAUUCUCCAUCAUAUAAGUUUACAUCUAUUUUACUUUGCAUUCUUUACUUUCACUCUUUAUCAUAAAAAUACCAAAAAUAUUAUCUUAUCAUCUCUAUCAGAUCUCACUUUUGCAAGUGGCCAUAAAGGGAUUGACAACCCCUUUAUCGUGUUGGUUGCAAGGUUCUUAUUUGUUUGUGUAGGUACGAGGGACUUGCGUGUGGCCUCCUACUGGAUUGAUACCUUGGUACUCAAAAACUGAGGGAAAUACUUACGCUACUUUGCUGCAUCACCCUUUCCUUUUCAAGGGAAAACCAACGCAUGCUCAAGAGGUAGCAAGGACUAUGUAGACAUGACCGAGACACGUCUCCAGUCAAUAACCAAUAGCGGAACCUGGAUGUUCAUAUUGGCUCCCACAUAUUCUACGAAGAUCUUUAUCGGUCAAACCGCAUAACGAUAUACGUUGUUCCCUUUGUCAUUGGUAUGUUACUUGCCCGAGAUUCGAUCGUCGGUAUCUCAAUACCUAGUUCAAUCUCGUUACCGGCAAGUCUCUUUACUCGUUCCGUAAUGCAUCAUCCCGCAACUAACUCAUUAGUCACAUUGCUUGCAAGGCUUAUAGUGAUAUGCAUUACCGAGAGGGCCCAGAGAUACUUCUCCGACAAUCAGAGUGACAAAUCCUAAUCUUGAUCUAUGCCAACUCAACAAGUACCAUCGGAGACACCUGUAGAGCACCUUUAUAAUCACCCAGUUACGUUGUGACGUUUGGUAGCACACUAAGUGUUCCUCCGGUAUUCGGGAGUUGCAUAAUCUCAUAGUCAUAAGAACAUGUAUAAGUCAUGAAGAAAGCAAUAGCAAUAUACUAAACGAUCAAGUGCUAAGCUAACGGAAUGAGUCAAGUCAAUCACAUCACUCUCUAAUGAUGUGGUCCCGUUAAUCAAAUGACAACUCAUGUCUAUGGCUAGGAAACUUAACCAUCUUUGAUUCAACGAGCUAGUCAAGUAGAGGCAUAGUAGUGACACUCUGUUUGUCUAUGUAUUCACACAUCUACUAAGUUUUCGGUUAAUACAAUUCUAGCAUGAAUAAUAAACAUUUAUCAUGAUAUAAGGAAAUAUAAAUAACAACUUUAUUAUUGCCUCUAGGGCAUAUUUCCUUCAGGCGGUACGUGUUCUGGUCGACCUACGAAGUUCAGUAAUAGCUUGAUUUGAAGUUUCAUGAUCAUUAUCAUUAGCUUCCUCUCUAGUUAGUGAAAACACCACAAGAACAUCUUUCUGUGUUGCGAUAAUUUCUAAUUUGAGAGAAGGUACGAUUACCUCAUGAAGCUCUACUUUCCUCUUACUCACUUUUUUCGAGAGAAACUCGUUGUGUACAAAGGAUACAUUCUUGACAACAAAGAUCUUGCCCUUGGAUCUGCGAUAGAAGGUAUACACAAUGAUCUCUUUAGGGUACCCUAUGAAGACACAUUUAUCGGUUUUGGGUUCGAGCUUAUCAGGUUAAAGCCUCUUGACAUAAGCGCUGGAUCCCCAAACUUUUAGAAACAAUAACUUAGGUUUCUUUCCAAAUCACAAUUCAUACGAUGUCGUCUCAAGGACUUUAGACGAUACCCUAUUUAAAGUGAAUGCGUCUGUCUCUAAUGCAUAAUCCCAAAAUGAUAGUGGCAAAUUGGCAAGAGAGCCAUAGAAUACACUAUAUCUAUAGAGUACGAUUACGCUAGACAUAUCAUUACGCUAUGUUUUUUCAGGUGACGUGAGUUGUGAAAUAAUUCCCUAUUGUCUUAAAUGCAUACCAAACUCGUAACUUAAAUAUUCAACUUGACGACCAGAUCGCAAAUUUUUUAUCUUAUUGUUACGAUGAUUCUCUACUUUACUCUGAAACUCCUUAAACUUUUCAAAUGUUUCAGACUUGUGUUUCAUUAAGUAAAUAUACUGGUUCAAUUUUAAGAUAAUGUGCCGGUUCAAUCUUUUGAAAGUGCUCAUAGGAUAAGGUGUGCGUAUAUGCGUUUAUAGGGAUGAGUAUACAUACAUAAGUAGAGACGCCUGUCCUGUGUUUUAAAAAACCUGUACACGCCUACUCUACACCUUUAUUUGAAUCAAUAAGUUAAUGCCUGGCACAUUUCUUCCACGGACCCAAAUUCGUAGAACCCAGAGAGUAGCCGUGCGUGGGAUGCGUGUACCAAAGGCGGGCCCCACUUCUCAGAGGCCGAGGGCGUCGGAGGCGAAGCGACGAGCCGACGAUGAUUGUGACGGCGGGGCGGGCGGGCGCCUGAGUUGUUCACCACCUACCCUCCCCCGUCUCUCGAAGACUUUCCACCCAACUGAUCACACCAACAGCAACAGCUAGGCACAGCCCACGAACAAACUGCCGUUGAGAAGACGAACCAUUUCUUCCUCCUCGGAGACACGAGGAGAACCUCGGCGACUCCUCUCCCUCCCACCCUUAGUCCCGAACUCCCGAUCGGAGAUUCUCGGCGGAGGCGCUGCAUCUCCCUGGGCGCAGGAUCUCGGGGCCCGGCGGAGAAGGUGGACCGGCAUCACGCCAACUGAUCGAGCAAGAGCCGAGAGGUACGUACGUACGUCUGUUCGUUUCUCCGGGUGGUUUUCCAAUCUCAUCUGCUGCGCCGCCGCCUAUGGUAGCAAUAUGGCGUAGCUGCUUUUAUGAUCGAUCCAAGGGAAGGUACUCCCUGUUCUUUGGUCGACUGAAGCCAAGUUAUCGGCUGGCCGUCUGGGCAGCGCCGAUCAGUCGGCCCGUAGGCGGCGGCGGCGGUGCCGCUUCUCCGGAGAAUCCGCGACGUGUUUGCCGGCCCUACUACAGUACUGCCACGCCGCUAGGUUACCGGACGAGUAGAGCCAGCGCCGCCGCCUGCUACGGACGGGACGCGUACUUUUCGUCUGGCCUCCUCGCCGGCGCCGUGCGUGCUCGAGUGUACGCCACGAACCAACUGCGCCCUGGCACGUGGCGCCCAUAGGUGGCUGGCGUGGCGGCGCGCUGAACUGGCCAGGGAUACUUCCCCCGUUUGUCCUACUUUUUUUUUUGGAACAACCAAAGGCGCCAAUCUAUUGCAAAAUCAUUCAGAGUACAAGCAGUUUACAUUGAGAGUUACAAUUCCCUGAAUUUUCAUACAUGCACAUAAUAACUUCAAAGGACAAUCUUCCUGAAUAUGAUUCUCAUUGCUGCAUGAGACUUGAAAUGUUUGAGUUGCUUUAUGCUGGAUUGCUAGUUGGGCUAAAUCAUGAGCUUCUUUGUUAUGGAUUCUUGAGAUAUGGAACACCUGGACUGAAGUAGGAUCAGUGAUUGCACAAAAUUCUGCAAGUAAACCUCUAAUUUCCCAGUGUCCUGGAUCUGUUCUUGGUGAUCUUGUAGCAGCUAUGUUUGCCAGGGACAAGUUGUCAGUGAAGAUUGUCACCCCCUGAAUUUGUAACUUGAUUAUUAUGUUGGCUGCUAGCACUAAAGCUUGCGCUUCUGCUUGAAAGGCCGUUUGUCCUACUAGUAUGAGCCCAAUUGUUGGCAGGUGUCGCCGUCCGUCCGUCCGGGCGGAAAUAUCUCCGCCUGUUUCUUCUUCAACUCUAAUUGCCUUCUUCUCGGAGCAAAUGGCGCGACCGGAUUUAUUGCUUGCGCUUUGUUUCACCUCGUAUAAUUAUAGCAUUGGAUCCCCAGUUCUACAACAUCCGAUCUGGAGAUUGUACUGUCUGCCUCUCUCUGCUAAGGUUUGACUUGUACAUUAACUAAACGUGGUUAAGGAACUUACCUGAUCUCCCCGGGAUAAAAGGCCCGUACACUUCAAUUCAGAUUCAAACUUUGUAUAGUAUUCCGGAUCUAAAAAAUACGUACUCCUUCCGUCCGCGAAUAAGUGUACAUCUAGCUUUUGUUCUAAGUCAAAGUUUUAAGAUUUUGACCAAAUUUAUAGAAAAUAGUAGUAACAUAUAUGACAACAAAUUGAUAUAUUAUUAAAGUAUAUUUUAAAACAAAUCUAGUGAUACUAAUUUGAUGCCAUAAGUGCUUUUACUUUUUCCUAAAAAGAUGGUCAAAGCAAUAAAACUUUGACUUAAAAAAAAAA